rnacentral:lncRNA from 1 species
AUACUCCAAGAUUGUCAUUUGAGUGACAUGUCUUAAAGAAGGUUUAAAACACUUGUCAAAUGUAAGAGUAAAAGUUUUCUACUCUUGUACAUUUGAAAUUGGUAAGUUGUGAUGUUUUGGAUAAAACAAAGACCAACUUAGGCCAAUUGGGUAAAGUGUUUUUCUUGAUUAGAAUCCGCACUAUCUCUUGGAUGUUUGACAAGGGAGUCUUAUAUGUCAAGAGGACAGUGGGAGUCUUAAAGGUCUUGAAAGUCUCAAGAACUAAUCAAGAAUAAAACCUGAAGUUCUUCACUAGCACACGACUUGAGGUUUAUAACCUAUCGUGUUGACAUAUCUGUGCCCAUUCCAGUUAAAGUUGGCUUUGCAUAUGAGUUCUUAGAGUUCUCAAUUUGUUGCACAACAACUUGGAAGCAAUGGCAGGCCCUUGAGCUGCCAGGUGGCAAGAAAUUAAGAUUGAGUUCAGUCCAUAUGAGUUUGGAUUUGUCAUUAUCCUUGUCUUGUGACUAUGGUUUUGACAAUUCACAUGGAUAAGAACACAUACACCAUUAAAUCUAAGUGUCAUAAGGUUUCUCUCCGAUUCAUGAAAAUGAUGGUGAGGAAACACUUUCACUAAGUAGAUUUUAGCUAGAUAGCAAUUGUGAUAUUUGCAUUCUCAAAGUCGUUAGUGGAGCGUGUGUGGUUUACCGGCACACUAACCUGGACUUGUGAGAAGUGGCAAAAAGGUCUAACCAUUAUGAUUACGGCAUACCUCUUCAUAAUUGUUUAGACACACAAGUGUGCUAUCUAAGGGAAGGUGUAUGAUUUUGAUAAAGUUUUAUCAAAACAAUCUAGCAUCAGAAAUCUGAACUUUGGUAAGAAAGUCAAUGAAGUAUUGAUUUCUAGAAGUCCAGCUGAUUUCUGAGUACAUGUCAAAGCUAGUGGGAGCAUAAGUGUUAUGCUAAUAAUCAUCAUGUUAGUGGGAGCAUGAUAAUUAUGAUAAGUAUUGCAAGUUAGCAAUGUUAAUUAUAGAAAACAAAAGUUUCAAUUGGGAAAAAGUUGUUUUGCUAUAAUUAAGGGAGAGGAAAUUAUACUUCAUCUCAAAUCUAUAAGCUUAGAUCGUGAGGUUUUAAUCAUUUAGUCAAGGAUAUAUAUGAAUUUCAUGUUGGAAUGGCUCAACAUAAGGAAAUUCUGUAUAUGGGUCCAUUAUUUGCGUUCUAAAAUUCGAUUAUGAUUACGGCAUCCCUUUUCAUAAUCUGAAUUAUGAGAACUUGGCAAAUUGAAAUGGAAAUGUUAUAGCAAAAGACUGGUUUAGUCUUUAUGUGAGACAUCAUGAAUCGUGUCCCAUAUGCUUCGGAUAUAGGAUCGAUUACAUGUGCUAUAUUCAUCCGUUCUAAAAUUUUCCAAAUGCCUGGGGCAUUAAGAAGGGAAAAGGUUUAGAACUGGAUAUGACUAAAAGGAUUAAACAAUUGUCGAGGACAAUCUAAGGUUUACCAAAGAUUGGUUGCUCAAGGACAGUUGGAAGUAUAGUGAUAAUUCUGGAAGGACCAUAUUGACAUAAUCUGUAAGGAGGCAACUCUUGUUCAGAAGUGAUAGUCAAAAUGGAAUCUGGAAAUGUUUCAAAGUUAGAAUUUUCAAUCUGUUUAAGAUUAGGAAACUUAAUGCAAGAAGGAUGUUUCCAAGGAGCUGAUCUCCUUUGGAAUACUCUGUAAUGAUUGUUGUCAAGUCUUUCUGACUUUGUGCAUAAUCAUUACAAGAGGAUCAAUGCAUAUAAGUUUAGAAUCUAACAGAUUUCAGUAAAUGGCAUGAAUUUGGAAUUCUUGCAUUUGCAGUAAGGAUUUGGGAGUGUGAAAAGAGAAUCAUUGAAGUUAUGUUCAAUUGAUCUAGUUCACAAAGUAAAGAUCAUAGACAAACAUAGUAUGCAUACUUGGUGUGUGGCAUGACUAGUGUUUAAGAAAACAUAGUGUACAUGCUUGGAGCAUGGGACAACUAUUGUUUUAAAUUCAAGAAUAAAGUUGAUAGCUGAAACAGUAUACAAUGAAUAAUGUGUAAUCAUAUGGUGAUAAAUAAAAGGUGUUUUAUUUAUGUUCAAAGGGUUGAUACCAUAUUGGAUUCAAUUAUUAUUGUGUUUCACUUUGCAUGUUUUGACUUCCCGAAUAAACUAGGUUAUUCUUCCGGAAUGACUAAGUUAUUCAAACCAUCCACAGUCGGUCAUAUGUUGGAAGUAGAUAUGAAUUAAGACUGUCAUGGGUUGGCUUGUAGAGGUCUAAGGUGUUGGACAAAGGGCUACAACACUCAUGAGUGCUCAUAAGUUCUGAGUAUUGGAUUCAACCCGCGCUCAUUGGAAUCACUUCAUGGAUUUUAUCACGAGUGAUCAUGAGACGAUAAUAUCUUAUAUUCUUCAAACCUAGAGAUAUGAGUUGUUACUAUGAGUUGAUAGUACAUUGAUUGCACGAAAACGCAUUUGGUAACUCGGUGCUAUAAAACGUGCCUUUGUGUAUGAUUCAACAAGUAGUAGAACAAGCCAUAUGAGUCGAAGUUUAUCCGUUCCUUUUACCUUCGGGAUAAAAGCGAUAUCUGUGGGCCCCUCGAUGAUUUGAUGAUGACAAAUGGAAGUGCUCGGCCGGGCCAGGACUGAUUUGAUUUGUUCAAUUAGUCAGUCGUCAUAAAUCGGAAAUCGGGAAACAACAAAUGGACAGAGAGAAUGAUUAUAAUCCAUGUCUCAGUCCAUAUGAUAUCUAGAAUGGAGGAAUAUAUGAUCCCUUAUCUAAUGGACAAGUCACUGACAAAGGUCAGAGUUCAUCUACAAGGUCAGAGUUCGACAGAAGCUUUUGAGAGCUACGAUUGCCGGUUGGUUCCUGAAGUCAUACGCAAUAAUAGUUUUAGACUUAUCCAAGUGGGAGACUGUUGGAUUAAUGUCUAAGUCCAUAACUAUAUUUGGUAAGACUUGACCCGACCCGGCAUGGUCCAUUUGGGUUGCAUACCAUCAUGCACUUGAAUGAGAGAAAUAAGACACUUAUGGUUAUUAAUAUAUUAUAAGUUCUAGUAUAUUAAUAAUAAGAAUAAUAAGAUUAUUUAAUUAGUAUUGAUCAAGAAUUAAUCUAGGAUUAAUUAAGUGAUCAAAAGAAGACUAAUUAAAUAUAUGGGUUGAUUGUGUAAAUCAUCCAUACUUGUAUAGUGGGCUAAUGCUCCAUGGAUAAUCAAGUUGGGCUAAAACCCAUAGGAUGGUCCAUGGAUGCUCCAUGGUGUAUUUGUACCCAUUGAUCCAAGGAAAUGGAAAGCCAUGACAAUUAAGAGUUUACCCUAAUUGUGUAACUAUAUAAGCAUCUUAUUAUUGAGGAAAAAUCGGCCACUAGAGAUAGUGAAGAAAGGGCUAGCCGAUUUUGAUGAGUGUAGAAUUCUCUCAAGUCAUUCCAAGUGUUUUGAUGAUUGUGAUUCCAUUUGAGGUGUCACACUUGGGGCACUAAGCACUCAAGCUUCAUGAAGACUUACUACACCAAAAAGGUAUGUAUUCUAUCCUACUAUAUCCAUUGUUUUAUAUGCUAGAUUAGGAUAAUACCUUGGAAGUUCUUAUUUGCAUGUAUAAUAGAGAAAACAUAGAUCCAAGGUAUUUAGGGUUGCAUGUACACUUAGGAAGUGUUAGAAUGCUCAAAACCCAACAACAUUUACCCCUAUCACUUUGACUUCAGCAGAAUGUUGUUUGAUCUCUUCUCGACAAUGCUAUUUUCCAGUGUCAACCACCAGCUGUGAUACACUGAUGAGAUUGUGUUGAAGUCCUUCAACAUAUGCUAUUUUCCAUAUAGAUAACUCGCCAUUAGUGAUCAUUCCAUAGCCUUUGAUAGUUCCAAAUGAAUUGUUGCCGUACUUUACAAUGCCACCAUAUUUGAGAGAACGAAACUUCCUCAGUUCCUCCUUCCUUCCUGUCAUGUGACGUGAGCACCCACUAUCGAUGUACCAUUCUUCGUCAAACAGCUCGUCAUGAAUAACCUGCAAAAUAUUAAGCAUAUUUAGGAACCCAAAGUUUCUUGGGUCCUUGUGAGCCUUUUACAGGACAGGCAAUAGUAAGAGAAAUAUCAACCAUGUAUGUGCGUUUAACUAAAGUUAUUUCAUCUUUUCUUUUAAUUGUGAAAACUUUAAUUUUAGUUGAUUUAGUAGGACUGGAGUUUGUGGUGUUGGCAUUGGUAUUCUUUUGAUUCUCUUUUGGAAGAUUGUUAUCUUCAGGGUAGAGUUUUCCUUUUCCCUUUGAAGUAACUGAAGGACAAGAAUUUGAAUAAGAAGAGUAGAAUUUAGAACUGACUUUGGAAUCCUUGUUUUUCUGAUUGGACUUGUAUGGACGGGGACCGAAACCACUAUUUCGGUUGCUAUGGGAUAAAGGACCGAAACUCUCCUUUCGGUUGUUACUGGAUGAAGGACUGAAACCGUUCUUUCGGUUGUCACUGGAUGAAGGACCGAAACUCUCCUUUCAGUUGUUUUCAAUCGAGGGACCGAAACCACCCUUUCGGCUCCUAUUGGUUGAAGGACCGUAACCAUCCAUUCGGAUCCUAUUGGUCAAAGGACCGAAACCAUCCUUUCGGCUCCUAUUGGUCGAAGGACCGAAACCAUCCUUUCGGCUCCUUUCAGUAGAGGGACCAAAACCAUUCUUUCGGUUGGUGUUGUAGUGAGGACUGAAACUGCUCUUUUGGUUUAUUCCCAUCGUGGGGCCGAAACUUCCCUUCCUGUUCCUUGAGUCUUCUUGUGAUUUGUGCUUCCUUUCUAUCCUUAUAAAGUCAGGAUUUUGAGAAUUCCAAAACUGUUUUCUUUCAGAGAGAUUCUUCUUGUAUCUCAGAUUUCUUUUAUGCUUUCUAUCAGCCACCUGUUUUGGAUUUCUGUGAAUGUUGGCCUUUCUUUUCGAAGUAUGAGCACAACAUUCACUUUUUACCGAAGAAGUAUCACUAGUGGUUUGCAUCGGUUCGUCCAAUGGGGGUUUAGUGCCACUUGUGCUCGGCACAUCAUCCUUUGUAGGCUCAUUUAGUGGUUUAGGUAUGUAUCUACCUUUCACUCUCCAUGAAUGUUUCUGAGAAAGACCCUUUGUCUCAUCUGCGUUGUCUAUUGGGGCCGACCAGAAAAAUUCGUCACAUCCUCCAGCAUUGUCUUCUUCUACCAUAGCUGUUAACUCUGCAGUUUGUUGUGGAGUGACACCCGGUACUCUGUAGACUUGGUUUGGAGUAGUUUGUACCUUUUCGUAUACAACAGCUUUGGCUUUGAGAACUUUGGUUUUGUCAGUAGACGAACGAGCAAACUCAAUGGAGUUUUUAGAAAUUAGGUUCUUGUGUGACUUAGGUUCACUUUUGGCAAAAUCAGAACAGUCUACCAAAUCCUCUACAGAGAUUUCACUCGGAUCAUCAUCCUCAUUAAGCUCAGAUGUGUUUUCAGCAUCAAUUUUAUUUUUUGAACUUAACUUGGCAUUCAAAGAGUCAAAUUUUUGUAUAGUUUCGAUUCUCAAUUUUAAUCUAUCAUUUUCGUCUGACAGAUUUUUGAGCAUGUCGUUGUGGUCUUUGGACUUUAUGUAGGAUUCAAUUUUGUCCAGACCUUUUUUAUAUGUUGGAGAAACUUCGUUAGAAGAUACAACACUUUCACAGUUGUAGACUUCAGCAUCGAUUUUAUCUUCCUUUAAUCCAAGGAAGGGUAAAAGCAUGCGAUGUAUCCUCUUUCCUAUUUCACAAUCAAGAUGCAACUGAAGGAUGUUAAAAUAGAGUCUCUUAGCAUAUAAACAAAACACAUUUCGCUGUUUAAGAAGUUUAAGAUUGUCUCUUUGCAAAUAAAUAAAGUCAUCCUUAGAUCUAAUUAACUCCUUUUCCUUUUGCUCGAUCCCCAUCCUUCGUUCCACACUCUUUGAUGAAAUCCUGCCGAUUUGAUCAGUUAGGUUAGAAUUUGUGACACGGGUUUGGGUGAGAUUUCUACUUAUGCUCGAGAAUUUUAAAUUUAAGUUAUUAAGUUCCUUUUCAUAAUUAGUAACAGGAAUUUUUAUAGAAGCAAGAAUAUUUUAUACCUUUUUGAUCAACUCAUCACAUUCUUUGAUUUGUGCAUUGAUAGGCUUGGCAGCAAAACACCUAUCCUAUCACUCCUUUUCAUCUUCAUCUCCCCCAUCGGUUGUGUAUCCUCUCAUUUGGGACACACCCUCAGUCACCACAAAGCAUCUUCCUGUUGCAUGUUCUUCUUUUGCCAGCAUAGCGUUUCCAUGAGUGGGCUUCCUGUGACAACCCAAAAUUUCCAUUUUGUACAAACCAUUUGAGGCCAAUAGAAGUAGAACAGUUACAGUGAAAAUUCAGACUUCGAGUAUAAGUUUCGCAGUUUUUCAGGAUUUACACUUAAGGAAAUAUCAGGAGAGUGGAUGCACUAGGGUUUCGUGCAACACUGUUAUUCCGAUACUCUAUUAUAUUAGAAAUCAUUUCGGGAAUAAAAAUAUUUUUUGCCAAAAAUAUCUCAGGACUAUAAAUAGAAUUCUGAACCAAAUUAUGUCAUUAGUUACAUUUCCAUCUAGAGAAAAGCCAUUUUCUCUCUCACGGAUCUUCGGGUUUUUAUCCCAAAUCGUGAGUACACUUCUCUAGUUGUCUUAUAAUGCAUAUAAUGUGCAUAAUAACUUAGAUUACAUAGCAAAUCUGUGAGAUUCAGGAGUUUACCGCCCAAGAAUGUUCUUGGAGAGUAAACUCUUAUAUGUGGCUUAAAUGCUACCUAGUCUUUUUCCCCAUGUUAGGUAACUACCUUAGGCAUGUAUGCUAGUGUGUAUAUGACUAGAAAAUAUCAAAAUCGGAUCAAGACCCCAUGAUUUGGGAGUUUACCGCCCAUGAACACGCGGAGAGUAAACUCCAUUUUAAGGGCCAAAAGUGUCCCAGUGACCCUCAAAUCCUUAGAACUCAAACUAGAAGCCUUCAUUACAUGUUUAGGACACCAAAAUCAAUUAGAAACAAGGAUGAAAGUGAGUUCACGGCCAAGGAGGUUCUUGGGCCGUGAACUCCAUGUUUAAGUGCCAAAAUGCCCUUAAAACCUUCCUUAAGCCAACAGACUAAUUUGGGCAUGUACCUAAAUGAGUUUAGGACUAGCUAACACACUUAGAACACCAAGAGAAAAGUGUUCACAGCCCAAAACGUUCUAGGGCCGUGAACACCAUAAAAUGGUGCAAAAUGGUGCCAUAAACUCUUCUUAAGCCUUGUACAAUAGCCUAGUUUAGUUCCUACUUAAUUUGGGGACUUGAAAACACCAUAAACAUCCUCCCAAGGGAGAUUACGGCCGUAAUCUCCAAGAGAAUAUGGUCCCAGGGCCGUAAACUCCUAAAAGGAGUUAUAUUAUGCCCUAAACUCUUCCAUAGACCAAGCCAUUAAGUAGAAAUGCUUAUUAGGGCCUUAUAGAGCAUCAAACAUCAAAUGGACACAUAGGUAUGAGUUCAUGGCCGUAAAAUCAUUUGGUAGUGUUAUUAGGGCCGUGAAGUUCAUGGUGGAGUUUUCCUUGAGCCCUACACACAAUAGCUUCCCCUAAAAACACUUAGAUGCAAUCCUAGAGGCUAAUAACACUUGAUAAAGGUGUUUAGCAUGUCCUAGGGUGUCUUGACUUGUUUAUUAGUUGUGUAUAGACUAAUUUAUUACAUAUAUGUGAAGUUAUAUGUUAAUUAGGAUCAUAUAGUGUGUUCAAGACUUCACUUGACACCUAGCGGUCCUACCUCUUCAGUUCAUCCGUAUCACCCAUAACAGGUGAGUUCAUACCCCUUAAUCAAUGUUUUAACUAUUUUUAAAUUUUUAUGGGGGGGAUACAAGUAGAAUCAUGCCACUUAUUAUAUCAAUCACAUGUGAUUAAUAAGCAGCAUUUAAAUGAUUUACUACUCAUUAGCCGUUUUACCAAACAGUUUACUUCAAAUGAUUUUCAUAAACAUUUUAUAUGUUUUAAAACUCCUUAUUACACUGGACAUUUUACUCUGUAUGUUUUAUUUCAAACUUAUUUACAAUUGUGAUUCAAACAAAUGUUUCCUUAUACUAAAUUGUUUUAUCAAACCCAUGCCCUCAAACCGUUUUAUAGAUUGACAUUAAGUCGAUCUUUUCUUAAGAUGAUAAUUAUGUUCAAAGGUUUUACAAAACUUAUUUAUGCUUUUAUAUUAUAAAUUGCAUGCCUCUAUAUGUAUAGUUAUAUAAGAAAUGUUUAAAAGAUUAGGAAGGCUAUCCACCCUUUUUCCUUUUCGCGCCUGAGAUGUGGUCUGGUGGGAUAUCGGGUACUCGUCCGAAGGUCGUUUAAAUAUUAGUUAUAUAACAUAUGUACAUAUAUAGUCAUAAAGGCCCUUCCAGUUCAUCCAUGCCCUUGGGUAGCAAGGGUAUACAUCCAUGUCCAUACGUACCAGUUAGAUUACUAGUAAACUACCAUAUGGGUAGUUUAGGAAGAUACUAGAACUAUUACUAGAACAUAAUAUCAUAUUAUGAGUCAGUUCAUUCAUGAGUCAAUACUUACUACUAUGAGAACAUAUACAACUGUACUGAAGAAGAACAUAUACAACUAUACUAGAGAAGAACAUAUACAACUAUACUAGAGAGAGAACAUAUACAACUAUACUAGAGAAGAACAUAUACAACUAUACUAGAGAAGAACAUAUACAACUAUACUAGAGAGAGAACAUAUACAACUAUACUAGAAAGAGAACAUAUACAACGAUACUAGAACGAGUACAUUACUAUACUUGCUAGGUAGAGAGCCCGUACAUUACAGCUAGAACAGUUCAUUACAUUACAUAUACAUGAAUACGUUAAUAAUUGUGAUCCAUUGUAUCGGAGCAUGCCUUAAAUAUCAUGGCCCGAGUUGUAGCCAGAAUUCUCUUGGAGGGAGAGCGUGAGUUUGCGUAUAGAUCUAUACUGGAUUGACUAUCCUACACCUUGCUGCUAGCUACAGCCGGACCUGCAGGUCUGCGGGUGCCAAACAACAUUCCAUUUUACGACCAUUCCUAUGUCGUUGUUACCAGUCGAUAGUAUGGUACAAUUAAUCACAUGAUGCCUUAAUAUAAAUCCGGUUUAAGGUAGUUAGUACAACAUUAGUUCUUAUUGAACUACAUUUUAUUACUACAUUAAUUUUCCCUGUACAUAUAUUUAGUGAUCAUUUCACUUAAACAUUUAAUGUAAAAACUAUAUUUUGUUAAUGAUAGUUACACUUGGGAAAAUUACACACUUUUACAUGAAAUGAACAUUUAAAACAGUUAAGUCUUGGUAGAAGACUACAUUGAGAACAGUUAGGUCUUGGUAGAAGACACACUUCAUAUAAUAGUAGGAAUCAUAGGGAUUUCUAGGGUUUUUCAAACGUUUACAGUUGUUUUACAAACAUUUUUACAUUUACAGUUCGUAUACAUUUUCAAUACUUACAAUUUCAUUACAUACAAAUUGUUACAUACAAAUUAAGACACUAAAAUACUUAUGAUCUCACCAACUUUAAAGCUGAUACUCGCUUUCAAAAUUACUUGUAUCCUCAAUUCAUCAUAGACAGGUACCAAUGCAAGGACUAGGGAAGAUGGAGCUCGUUGAAGACUCAUCUUUCAUUUUGAUUUAUGCUUUAGUGUUUAUCAAAAUUUGACAGAACACACUUGUAUAAUAAUUAUAUUAUUAAUGCAAUGGAUGAUGUUGUUGCUUGUUUACUACUUUACAUUGUUGUGAUAUUGUAGAUGACGUCCUCUGCCCCAGAACGUUUCCGCCAUUCUUGGUUUUGGGGUGUGACACUUCCUAACUUCAUCAUCCUCAUAAUUUGUGGACCAGACCUCCACACCAACAAAUUCAUCACUGUUGUUUGUAUCCUGCACAAUUAAAGCAUUCAUGGCAGUAUUAUUAGGAGCAAACUUUCUUUUCUUUAUUUCCUCCAGUCUUCUCAGGAGGCUCGCUUCCUCAUCUUCUUCAUUUGUCUUCUCUUCAUUCUUUCUCAGCAUUAAGUCUUUAGCAAAAUGAUUCUUGCUCCACAGUAAUGGCAGUCGAAUCCUGAGUCUCCUCUAACUUUUGCUUCCUUCUUUGACUCUUCAGACUUUGACCCCGUCUUCGGUUCCUCCUUGAUCCUUUUGACGUUGUAACUACCCUGCCAAUUUCAGUUCUUAUUGGUUGGGAAUUUAUUCUUAACGAGUGCUCUGGGAUUGGACUCCAUCAUGGCGUAUUCUUCACCGGUUAGAUCAUAAUUUGCAAGAUCUAAUUCCUCUUCUUCUUCAACCGAACUUUUUCUUUAGAGACAAGAGCUAAAGAACCCAGACUGGAAACCACAUUUGUUUCCUUAGACAGAGCACUCUCAUGGGAUUUCAAAAUACCCACUAGUUUUGCCAGAGAAUGAGACUUUUACUGUUCAUGAGCUUUAACAAUUGACACAACAACUAUCCAUUCAGGUUUGAGGCCAUUCAUGAAAGUAACCUUUUGUUUGAUAACUUUCCUUUCAAUCCCAUGCUUUAUCAUCUUACUUAAAAGAUAUUUGAAGCGAUCAAAAGUUUGAACAAGUUUCUCUUCAGGUUUCUGCUUAAAGUCACCAAAUUCAGACAGCAAGAGAGUUUGUAUUGAAUGUUCCAAAUCUUCGUCAGUGGUGUAUAAUUCUUUCAAUCUAUCAGAGAUCACUUUAGCUGUAGCACAAGAACUCACUAAACGAAACAUAUCCGACUGCAGCGCAAACCUUGUCAUCCUCAAGGCCUUGAUGUUGCAUUGAAACUUCUCCUUCUCAUCCUAAGGAAUAUCUUUGACAUCAUUGACAAGCUGAUUGUACUCUUUCUGUGUUUUAACAAUCCUAGAUGUGCUUGAGUUAGCGAAUGGGCCUGCAGUAAUCGCUUCCCAGAUUAAUUAUCCAUUGUCCUCCGAUCCAAUCACGUAAUCUUCAAUGUGAUGCGUCCAAACUUCAUAGUCUUGUGUAUUCAAGAUUGGUAUUCUUGUUGUAGACCCUAUGCUGUCGGAGAUAUUCAUCAGAUUGGUUUGUGAAUCAUCCAUGGACAUUGUAAAGACUUUUGAUCAAUAACCUGUAAAAGAUCAGACUUGUAAUAUAUCAUUAGGGUUAGAUCAACAAUUAACGAGAUACGUAAAUAUAGAGUGACGGCUCAAUAAAUAUCAAUCAAUGCGGAAUUAAAACCCUAAUAACUUCUUCGACAGAAGAGAUGUGUAUGAAUUACACAGUCUCCUGCUCUGAUACCAAUUGAAGAGAUUAAAACUCUUAGAUUGAUUAGAUCUUUCAUAAGUACGAUUAUGGAAAUCAGAAAAGUCAAAAACAAUAUGAUAAUGAACACAGAAUAGAAUCAAAUAUAUGCUUAUGAUUCAAAACAGAGUCAAGCCUCAACAGAGCUCGAUGAAGAACUUCCGAUGUAGAGGCGAGCUAGGGUUUACAAAACUUUAAACAAAAUAAACAAUGAAAGCGAUAACUUCUAAGUCUUAAUGCAUGCAGCUUAUAUACUAAACCCUAGUACAAAAAUAUGCAUGGUUGGACAGGCCCAAUACCGACAAUCAAACUGGGCUAAGGACCGAGCCCAUGAUGCAAUCUACUCGACCCAACAUUUCCCUUUGUGUGAAUGGGUCUACGGCCACAAUGCCGGACCAUGUAGUUAUGAGUAGGAAGACCCGGGGGUUAGCCCUAGGCACUGUAUGCUAGUAGUUAUUCCAGACCAAGGUCCGAUGUCGGGCGGGUUCCUGUGGAUGGUUUAUGUGUUAGUUAUUCCGGAUCAAACUCCAAUGCCAAGGUAAGCCCAAGGAAAGUUGCAUGUUAGAUUUUACUUGUUGUCUGUGUGAUGCUUGUAUGUGCCUGGUAGGGAGGUGAGUGUAUGUGAGGUUCCAUAUCUCACCAUUAGUAGAGUAUGGACGGGGUUCCAUAUCUCAUUAGUAGAAGAUCAGAGGUGAGGCCUGAGGUAGGAAAGUAUUGAGUGUGGGUUGGGGCCCGUAUCUCAUUAUCAGUAGGUGUGUGGACAGGGUUUCAUGACUCACUAGUAGCAGGACAGGGGCGAGGCCCAUGAUAGGUGACGCCUUAGGACAGUAAUAGUGUACAGUAUGUUCAGUUUAUGUGUUAUGUGCUAUGGUUAUAUGUUUGCAUGAGUUUUGCGGGCGGGGCCCAGAGAUAGGCUGGGCCUAAAGUAAAACAGAUCUGUAUACUGAGCGGGGCUCGAAGCCAGGCGGGGCCUGGGAUCGGGCAGGGCCCGAUGUAGCGGGCGAGGCCCGAAGUAGCGGCCGUGGCCUAGUGCUUGUAGUAUGUGAUUAUGCAUGGUAUGUGGUAGGUUGGGAAACUCACUAAGCUUUCGUGCUUAUGGUUUUCAGUUAUGGUUUCAGGUACUUCCGGUAGCGGAAGGAAGAGCUCGAGGUGAUCGCAUGACACACACACACCAAAUGAGUUUUAGCCUGGGAUGUUUACUCUGAUAAAAUAAAAUAGACAUGAUACUCUGAUGUGAUAUGUUCUUCAUGAAUGGUUGACAUUUGUGGUUUAAUUAUUAAAUUAAAAAUGAAAUUUUUGGUUAUGAUUUUUGGGUCGUUACAAGUGCCAUAAAGUAAGCAAAUUUAUGGUUUAAGCCAUAAAGCUUUCACCUUUGGACAAAACACUAAACCAUACUAGAUCUAAGCAUACUUAAGUAAAGUUGUGAGGUUUAUACCUUCAAAGUGUUCCAAAAGAUGAUUUUAUCACAUAUCUAUAAGCUCUGGCCGCCAAGGUUCCUCCAUGUCACUCUUCUUCUUUUCUCUUCCAAGGUUUAAACCACCAAACUAAGCUUCCUAAGGUCAAGAUCUCACAAAAUGAAGGGUUGGGGCGUGCUAGGGUUUCUCCGAAGUUACGGAGGCUGAUAAUGGGCUAGGGUUUGAUCCAUUAUGCUCCUAAUAUAGUGGCACACCCUAAAAAUAGGGUUUUAAGACUCUGAGCGUACGCUGGGCGUACGCCUCCCCACACCCGCGUUCACUUGUUCCAUUACGUUGGGCGUACUGAUGUGCGUUCCAAAUUGCAUGCAUGGCCUUCUAUGCGAGCUUUUCUCCAUAAGGGCCAUUAUUGAUAAUAUCUUCAAAGUGUCAUAACUCCUUCAUCCUAGAUCCGUUUCCGAUGAACAUUAUAUCUACGGAAAGGUGGCGAAAAGUCCUACGCUUCUAACAACACACCCCGGUCCAAAACCUUCUCGAAUGAAACUCAAAACCCAUAAAUGACCAAAACGCCCCUAGCCUUGACUUCUAGAUCCAUAAAUGAAUGCUUUUCCGAACAGGGUGUUACACAAAGGGAAGGAAGCUUAAAUGGAUAAUAUGAUGAAUCUGAUCACGAUGAUGGAUUUCAAUCGCAUGGUUCGAAGAUCGGAUUUUUGAGCUACUACUAAGGGGUUAUGAUAGAUUGCUAGGAAAUAUGUAAUAGCAUAGAUUUCAUUUAAAGUUUCAUUGUAUGGAAAAAGUUUUUUCCACAUUUCAUAAAUAAAUAAAAUAUUUUUUUGUUUUAUUUUAUAUCUCCUUGCAAUGGAAUUUAUGGAAAAUUGAUGUUUGUAUGUUUCUAGCAAUAAUGGAAAUAUGAAUUUGAUCAUUUCAUUUGUGGUAGUGUCUAAAUUUACCAAAUAAGGAAAGAUUCUCAUCACCCAAGUUUCAAUUGGACUGAAACUUAGAAUCAUGCAAGUUAUAUUGUAUGAUGAAUGAGAAUUUUCAUCUUUGGAAAAUUAAGACUAUUUCCUUGUUGACAUGUAUAUGUGAGUUAAGUGAAGGAUAAAAGGAUCGGGUACACUUGGUUGUGCACUGGUCAGGUCCACCACAAAGAUUGCUAAGGCUAUUUGUCAUGAUUCACUAAAAGUUAGUAAAUAUGGUUACACUUACAAGUUUAAGUGUAAUUCUGAAGCAUUGGAAAAGUUUCAGCAUAUGGCAAAACGAAUGAGAAGAAUCAAAUUACGCAGAAAGAUAAAAGUUUCUCGAAUCUGAAAAAGAUGGGAGAGUACUUUAGUGUCAUGUUUUAUGAUCAUCUUAAUGAUUAUGAAACCAUAUCAUAAUUCAUCCUCUAAGGUCAUCUUAGUUCAUUCUUAUGGCUAAGAGGAGGAGUCGUGAAUUGUUGAAGUGGUUAAAUUAAGAAGAUGAGUCAUACUUCGUUCCAAAUCAAUUCUUAGGGUCAUACUCCAAGAUUGUAACUUGAGUGACGUAUCUUAAAGAAGGUUUAUAACCCUUGUCAAAUGUAAGAGUAAAUUGUUUUAUACUCUUGUACAUUUGAAAUUGGUAAGUUGUGAUGUUUUGGAUAGGACAAAGACCAACUAAGGCCAAUUGUGAGAAGUGUUUGUCUUGAUAAGAAUCGACACUAUCUCUUGAAUAUUUGUUUGUAAAGGAAUGGUUCUUGGCAAGAGAGUCUUAUAUGUCAAGAGGAUAGUAGGAGUCUAAAAGAUCCUAAAAGAGUUUCAAGAACUAAUCAAGAAUAAAACCUAUAGUUUAUCAAUAGCACACAACUUGAGGUUUGUAACCUAUUGUGUUGACAUAUUCCUAUUUCUAUGCCCAUUCAAGUUAAAGUUGACUAUGCAUCUGAGUUCUACAAGCUCUCAGUUGUUUGCAUAACUACUUGGAAGCAAUGACAGGUCCUUGUGCUUCCUAGUGGCAAGAAGUUAAGAUUGCACAAGUUUAUUCCAUAUGAGGUUGGAUUUGUCACUAACCUUGUCUUGUGAUUAUGGUUUUGACAAAUCCACAUGGAUAGGAACACAUACACCAUAAAGUCUAAGUGUCAUAAGGUUUCUCUCCGAUUCAUGAAAAUGAUGGUGAGGAAACGCUUUCACUAAGUAGGUUUUAAGUAGAUAGAAAUUGUGAUAUUUGCAUUCUCAAAGUCGUUAAUGGAGCGUGUAUGGGUAACCGGCACACUAACAUAGACUUGUGACAAAUGGCAAAGGUCUAAACAAUUGAUACUAUGAUUAUGACACCCCUUUUCAUAGUUCUAAAAAUUGUUUAGACACACAUGUGAGCUAUCUAAGAAAAGGUGUAUGAUUUUAAUAAAUUCUUAUCAAAGCAUCCCGUAUCAGAAAUAUGAACUUUGGUAAGAAAGUCAAUAAAGUAUUGAUUUCUAGAAGUCCAACUGGUUUCUGAAUACAUGUCAAAGAUAUAUAUAUAUAUAUAUAUAUACACAUUUUAUGUCGGAAUGGUUCCACAUAAAGAAAUUCUAUAUAUAUUGCGUUCUCAAAAUUCGAUUACGAUUACGGUAUCCCUCUUCAUAGUCGAAUUAUGAAAACAUGGCAAAUAAAAAAGUAUUGUAGCAAAAGGCUGGUCUAGGAUCAUGUCUUUAUGUGAGACAUCAUGAAUCGUGUCCCAUAUGCUUCGGGAAUAGUAUCUAUUACAUGUGCUAUAAUAUUUAUCCUUUCUAUAUUUUCAAAAUGCCUACGGCAUUAAGAAGGGAAAAGGUUUAGAAUUUGAUAUGACUAAAAUGAUUAAGCAAUUGUUGUGUAACACCCUUAAUCAGAAAGACCAAGAAAGGAAAGGAAAACCCUAAGUUAAAGGGCCAACUCGUCGAAUCCAAGGAGGAACUUGGCGAGUCCGAGCGGGAUCCGAGUCGAGGAGUAAGUGACCGACUCGGCGAGUCGGAGUAUGGACUCGGCGAGUCCGGUCUGAAGAGGGAAACCCUAAAUCCGGGACUUUGUUCACUAUUUAAACAUCUCAUUCUCUUCCCAAGGGUUCCUUUAUUGCCUCUCUAACCCACAACACCAAACCCUAGCCACCAUAUCCGUUUUUGAGCUAAUUCUUGCCUUGAAUAGUGCAUUAAAGAUUGGAGAAGGAAGAAGGAUCUUGGGAGUGCGAGAAGGGGCUAUAGAUCCGGGAGUGGGAAGACAUUUUAGAGCAUUUGGAGGUAAUAAACUAGUACUUGGACUUCUUUGCAUCUAGAUCUAUCUUGGUUAUGAGUUUUGGGGCUUGUAUGCCAUAUCCUUGGAUCAUUUCGAGUUGGAGCCCAAAUCUGAAGUUGCUACUUCAGAUCUAAGUGUAUUCUGGCCUAGAAAAUCAUAAAGCAUUAGUCUUUGGGUUGGUUGUUCAGCCUCUUUGUCUUAAAAUCAAGUUUGGAGUGUUUUGGGCCUAGCUCUCCUUAGCUACACGUAAAGUUUGCGCCUUUACGUGAGGGAUAGGCUUUGGAAGUAUGGAUCUAUGAUUUGGAGCCCCUGCAUGGCUCGAAAAUCCACUGAAUGUAUUAAGAACUGCAGCAACUCGGUGAGUUGGAUGAAGUUGGGCAGGAACUCCGCGAGUUGGAAGAACAUCUCGACGAGUUUGUUGAAGAUUGCCUUGGACUCGGUGAGUCUGUUCUUGGACUCGGCGAGUCAAGUCGUGAAACCCCGAACCCUUCGAGUUGAGACUUGAAUCAGUGAGUUCAGUGGGGACUCGGUGAGUUGGACAGGUCAGGACUCGGAAAUCAAUGGACUCGGCGAGUCAUGGACUGACUCGGCGAGUCGAGUCGCGAAUGGAAGGACUCUGAGCAUAUGAACUCGGCGAGUCAGUAGGCAGACUCGGCGAGUAGGGUUGACCUGGAAGGUUGAAUUUGACCAGGACUUUGACUUUGACCAGAGUUGACUUAGUUGACUUUUGGGGGACAAUUAGACUAAGUGUUGCAUUGAUAUUGGUAGCUUAGGGAGCUAGUGGAGCAGGAGUUUAGAGAGUUGCCGGGAAGCAGCUAGAGGGGUUAUCAGCAAGUUCAGAAAGCGCAGGUGAGUUUCCCUUUGUGUGAAUGGGUGUAUGGCCAUAAUGCCGACCCAUGUAGUCAUGAGUACAAGACCCGGGGGUUAGCCCUAGGCACAGUAUGCUAAUAUGAUAUUCAGGAUGAGGUCCAAUGAUAGCGGGCGGGUGCCCAAGGAAUGGCUUAUAUGAUAGUUUAUACUUGUUGUCUGUGUGAUACAUGUAUGUGCCUGGUAGGGAGGUGAGUGUGGGCGAGGUCCCGUAUCUCACCAAUAGAAGAGUGAGGAUGGUGUUCCACAUCUCAUUAGCAGCAGAACAGGGGCGAGGCCCAAGUUAGGGAAGGAGUGAGUGUAGGNCACUAUUAGUAGGAGCAUGGACAGGGUUCCAUUAGUAUAUGUUUAGCUUAUGUUUUGUGAUAUGUUUAUGUGCUAUUAUAUGUUAGCGGACCGAGGCCCAGUGACAGGCGAGGCAUAUGUGAAACAGAUAUGUAUCCGAGUAGGGCUCGAAGCCAGGCGGGGCCGUUGUAGCGGGCGAGGCACGAAGUAGCGGGCGUGGCCCAGUAUAUGUUGUAUGUGUUUAUGCUGGGUAUGUGGUAGGUUGGGGAACUCACUAAGCUUCGUGCUUACGGUUUUCAGUUUUAGUUUCAGGUACUCCUGACAGCAGAGGGAAGAGCUCGGGGUGAUCGUAUGGCACACACCAUGGAUUAAACUGCCUGGGAUGUUUUACUCUGAUAAUGAACAUAUGUUUUGGAAAUUAAUACUCUGAUUAUGUUAUGGAUUGAUAAAUAUGUUUUAAGUAAUGAUUUAUAAAAGAAAUUUUUAGUUUGGAAUUUUGGGAUGUUACAUGUUGAGGACAAUCUGAGGUUUUACCAAUGAUUGGUUGCUCAUGGAUAGUUGGAAAUAUGGUGUAAAUUUUUGGAAAUGACAUAAUUAACUUAUUCUAAAAGAGAGGCAACUCAUGUUUAGAAGUGAUAGUCAAAAUGGGAAUAUGGAAAUGUCUCCAUAGGUGGAAGUUAGUCAAUCCGUGUCAUAUUAGAAGAACUUAAUGCAAGAAGGAUGUUCAAAGGAAUGUACUUUGAAUUUGAGACUUCAUUUCCAUGGAAUUGAUCUCCAUUGGAGUACUUUGUAAUGUUUGUUGCCAACUCUUUAUGACUUUGUGCAUAGUCAUUACAAGAGGAUCAAUGCAUAUGAGUUUAGAAUCUAAUAGAUUUCGAUAAAUGGCAGGAAUUUGGAAUUCUUACACUUACGAUAAGGAUUUGGGAUUGUGAAAUGAGAAUCAUUGGAAUUAUGUUCAAUUGAUCUAUUCCACAAAGUAAGGAUCAUAGACAAACAUAAUGCGUAUACUUGGUGUAUGGCAUAACUAUUGUUUGGAAAAACAUAGUGUGCAUGCUUGGAGGAUGGCAUUACUAUUGUUUUAAUUCAAGUAUUAAGUUGAUUAUUUGAAACAUUGUGCAAUGAAUAAUGUGUAAUCAAUAUGGUGAUAAAUAAAAGGUGUUUAUUUGUAUUCAUAAGUUCUGAGACCAUAUUAGAUUCGAUUAUUCUUGUGUUUCACUUUGCAUGUAUUGAGGCAAGACUGUCAUGAAGGGUCUGUAGUUUGUCUGGGACAAAGUGGUUGCAGUGUUCAUGAUUGCUCCUAGAAUGAGAUUUGAGUAUCGGAUUCAACCCACGCUCAUUUGAGUCACUUCAUGGAUUUUAUCACGAGUGAAUCAUGAGACAAUAAUAUCUUAUAUUCUUCAAACGGAGACGUGUGAGUUGUAGUUACGCGUCAGUUGCACAUUGACAUAUGUAAACGCAACCAGUAACUUGGUUGUUAUAAAACAUAUCGCUAUGUAUAAUUUGAUGAGUAUGUACAAGCGAACACUUGGGUCAAGGUUUAUCCAUUCCAUUUACCCUUGGAGGGAUAAAAGGGAUAUCCGUGGGCCCCUCGAUGAUUUAGUGAUGACAACCCUAAGUGCAUGGCUAAGCCUAGACUGAUUUGAUUUGUUCAAUUAGUUAGUCUUCGUAAAUCGGAUAUCGGGAAACAACAAAUGGACAGAGAGAAUGAUUAUAAUCCAUGUCUCGGUCCAUAUGAUAUCUAGAAUGGAGGAAUAUAUAAUCCCUUAUCUAAUGGACAUGUCAUUAACUGGGUCAGAGUUUGACAGCGACUUUAAGAGCUAUGAUUGCUAGUCAGGAUCUUGGAGUCAUACACAAUAACAAUUUUAGACUUAUCCAAGUGGGACACUAUUGGAAUAGAUGUUUAAGCCCAUAACUAUUAUUGGUAUGUAUUCGACCCGAGAGUAGCAUGGUCCAUUUGGGUUGCAAGGCAUCAGAUCAAUUGGAUAGACAAAAUGAGAAAAAGGAUACUUAUGAUUUAUAUUAAUAUAUUAGAAGUUCUAAUAUAUUAAUAUGAUAUAAUAUUAUUUAAUUAGUAUUGAUCAAGAAUCAAUUUAGAAUUAAUUUAACUUUUNNNNNNNNNNNNNNNNNNNNNNNNNNNNNNNNNNNNNNNNNNNNNNNNNNNNNNNNNNNNNNNNUAUAUAGGAUGGGCAAAGUUCAUUUAGGUUGGGAUAAGCUUUCACGGAUAGUCCAUGGAGUUUUAACCCAUGGAUCCAAUUGAAAUGAAAGGUCAUGGGUAUUAGGGUUUACAUGAAUGUAACCCUAAUCCUCCACACUAUAUAAAGAGGUUUCUAGUUCAUGAAAUUCGCACUAGUUCAUAAGACAAAGAGCGCUAGCCAAUUUUGGUGCAAGUAUUCUUCUUCUCAAGUUAUUCCAAGAGUUUUUGUUGUUGUGUGAACCAUUUGAGGUGUAAAACUUGGGGCAUAAGCUCAUAAAGGUUCAAGACUUCAAGCUCCAUGAAAAGUUAUGUCAUCUAACUAGACUUUUGUAGUAUGGUUGCUCCAUUGUAUGUUAGUUAGGAUGAGAACCUUGGAAAAAUCAUAUUUGCAUGUAUAAUAGAAAAAACAUAGAUCAAGGUUUCUAGGGAUGUAUGUACACUGUAGGAGUGUUAGAAUGCUCAAAACCCAUUAAAAUGAUCAAGUGGAGAGGGAGCACUUGCAUUCAAAGUCUCAUAUUGAGGGGGAACAUUCUUUCGAGGGGAGAAUAGGAGAAUGGAUGAUGAUGUUGAGGGGGAGCAAACCGAAAAUGAAGUUGUCAAGGGGGAGCUAAAUGCGUCGAAUAAUAAUCAAUAUGAAACUCUUCAUGAUUUUAAUGAUAAUAAUUAUGUUGCAGGUUCAGAGAAUGAAGAAAUGUUCGAAGAUGCACCAUUGGAUUUUGAUCCAACUUAUCCACCAUUGGAGAAAUGGACAAGAAAUCAUCCAAAAGAACAAUUUAUUGGAAAUCCACAAGAUGGUGUGUUAGCUAGAGCUCAACUUCAUGCAAAGAAUGAGCUACUUAAUGCUCAUCAGGAGUUUUGCAUGUUUAAUGUCUUUAUUUUGAAAAUUGAACCAAAAUUAGUUAAGGCUGCAAUGGAACACUCAGAUUGAGUUGUUGCAAGGCAAUCUAAAUUGUCUGAAUUUGAAAGAAACAAGGUUUGGAGAUUAAUUCCUAAACCAGAAGAUGUUUCGAUUGUUGGAUUAAAAUGGAAUUUCAAAAAUAAAAUAUAAAAAGAUGAUAAUAUUGUUCGAAAUAAGGUUAGGCUUGUAGUUAAAGGCUAUUCGCAACAAGAAGGUAUCGAUUAUGAUGAAACCUUUUACCCUGUCACAAGACUUGAGGCUAUUAGGAUAUUUUUGGCCUAUGCAACACACAAGGAUUUUGAUGUCUAUCAGAUGGAUGUUAAAUGUGCUUUUUUCAAUGGGGAACUUGAAGAAACUGUUGAUGUUGAACAACCUCCAGGUUUUAUAAGUGAAAAAUUUCCUAAUCAUUUUUAUAUUUUAGAUAAACCCGUGUAUCGGUUAAAACAAGCACCAAGAGCAUGGUAUGCAACUCUCUCCUCAUUUUUAAAACAUUCAAAAUUUUAACAAGGAACAGUUGAUCCCACACUAUUUCGAAAGAAAGUUGGGGAUCAUCUACUGCUUGUUAAAAUUUAUGUUGAUGAUAUUAUUUUUGGCUCAACUGACCUUGCUUUGUCUAGAGAUUUCGAAAAUCUAAUUAAAAGUCAAUUCAAGAUGAGCAUGAUGGGUAAAAUAAACAAUUUUCUAGGACCAAAUAUUCGUCAAAGAAGAUAAGGAAUCUUUAUGAAUCAAAGAAUCUGCUUGAAAAUUUUGGCAUGACGAACAGCACAAAAUUACGAGUACCAAUGGCAGUUGGAACAAGGCUAACACCUUCUUUAGACAAACUAACUGUUGAUCUUACUUUAUACAAAAGCAUGAUAUGUUCGUUACUUUAACUUAUGGAAAGUUGACAUGUCAUUAUGUUUUCUGUUUGUAAUUGUGCUAGAUAUCGAUUGAAUCCAAGAGAACCACACUUAACAAUGGUGAAAAAUAUUUUUCGAUAUCUCAAAGGCUCAAUUUCAUUAGGAUUGUGGUAUCCUUCUAAAUCUGGAUUCUUCAUACAAGCAUUUUUAGAUGAUGAUUUAGGAGGUUGAAAUCUUGAUAGAAAAAGCACAAGUGGCGGAUGUCAAUUACUAGAUGGGAGGUUAGUAAGCUGGCAAUCAAAAAAGCAAACAUGUGUUUUGAUUUCCACACCAGAAGCAGAGUAUGUUGCUGCUGCAACAUGCACUUCACAAAUCAUAUGGAUUCAAAGCCAACUGUGUGAUUAUGCAAUCAACAUGAAGAAAAUUCCAUUGUAUUGUGAUCCACAAAGUGCUAUACGCAUUUAUCACAAUCCUGUGCAACAUUCGAAAACAAAGCAUAUUGCUCUUCGCUAUCACUUUAUAAAAGAUCAUGUUGAGGAUGACAAUAUCAAAGUUCACUUUGUGAAAGCCACUAAUCAACUUGUUGAUAUAUUCAUAAAUCCAUUAGAUGAAAAAUCAUUCGUGAGAAUCUUGGGAGGUCUAGGAAUGAUUGAAGGAAUUUCAGUUUCUGGGUUGAUUUCUAAAGAAUAACAAAAUAAAGGUGUAUGACUGAUGAUUCAGAGGUGCUGGAGGGUAUGACUUCAGAUCCUGAUCUGCAAUCGUAGCUUUCUAAAGCCGCUGUCAACUCUGAUCCUAUCAGAUACGCAGGUCCUUUUGAUAACGUAUCAUAUAUUCCUCCAUUCUAGAUAUCGUAUGAGACAUGAUUUCUAAUCAUUCUCUUUGUACUGUUUCUCGAUUUCCGAUUUAUGACGACCGACUAAUUGAACAAAUCAAAUUUGCCCUAGCCUGGCCGAGCAUUUACGUUUGUCAUUACUAAAUCAUCGAGGGGCCCAAAGAUAUCGCUUUUAUCCUUCUUUGGAUAAAAGGAACGGAUAAACUUUGAUUCAAUGCUCGCUUGCACUCACUCACCGAAUCACACACAACAAUAUGUUUUAUAACACCAAGUUACUAGUGCGUUUACAUAUUAUCUGAAAGAACAUAAUUUGUGGUUUGAGCUAGGCAUCAUUUUUUUUAUAGAUAAUAGUGUCAUUUUGCAAUGUUUGUGUUUUGUUAUGUAAUGUGUGCUGCCACACAUGUGCGUGCGGCCGCACACAUGUGUUUGGCCGUACUCUCUUGUGCUAGUAAGAGGAGUACUAUUUAUAGCAACUGAGUUGUGUCAGUCUGCACUUUUGGCUAGGUGUCAGAACUCUGCAGCAGUUGUACUUUUCUCAAGAUGUACUUGACAUUUACUGAAUAUAGAUGUGUGCAUGCUUGAUUUAACUUCUUCUUCAUCUUAAUCUCAAUCUUAUUGCAAUUAACUUCAUUGAUUACUAAAUUGGAUCCUUAGUUUUGCGACUUACAAUUGGUAUCAGAGCCAUUUUGGUAUCAAUUGAAGUUAUUUUUUUGAGUGCAAAAUUUCAUUAUUUUUAAGAAUUUUGAUCGAAGAAUUGUUGAUGUAUUUUUAAGAAUUUUGAUCGAAGAACUGUUGAAGGCUUGCUGCUGACUUUGAAGGUUUGCUGCUGACUUUGAAGGUUUGUGGUUAAAGUGAGUGUGCGGUGGAGUGUGUCUAAUUAAGUGUGUGCUGGUAUUGUGUUUGCUGCUGACUGAGUGUGUGCUGUUACUGUAUUUGCUGGAAUUUUCUUGUUUGCUGCCAAGAGUGUGUGUGCUGUUAAAGUGACUGACGGUUAAGGUGUUAUAAUUGUGUGCGGUUCAAUUUAGUGUGCGGUCAGAUUGGUGUGUGCGGUUCAAUCUAGUGUGCGGUCAGAUUGGUGUGUGCGGUUCAAUCUAGUGUGCAGGCAGAUUGGUGUGUGCGGUUCAAUUCAGUGUGCGGUCACAUUGGUGUGUGCGGUUCAAAUCGGUGUGCGGCUGGAUUAGUGUGUGCAGUUAAGGAGUGUGUUUAAGUGUAUUAGUGUGCGGUUUGAAAUUACUCAAAUGGAAUCUCAAAACAUGAUUGCUCAUCAAGAUUUGGAUGCAAUUAUGGGAACAACCCUCGUAUUCCNAGAUUGCUAUCAGCUGAAGGAUUUCCUGAAUGGAAAUAUCGAAUUGAAAAAUACAUCAAAAUGAAGGAUUUCAAAAUUUGGAGAAGCAUUUUAAGAGGACCAAUUCGGAUUACUUCUACUUUAGAAGAUGGAACGGUAAUUGACAAACAGAUUGAAAACUACACUGAUGAUGAUUUUGAAGGAGUUGAAGAACAAGAAAAGGCUCUUGCCACACUGACUAUGGCAAUGUCUCCUGAAAUUGCACAAGGAUUUUGUGAGUAUACAUCAGCAAAAGCAUUGUGGGAAGCACUCAUAGAAGUUUAUCAAGGAAAUGAAGACAUGAAGCAAAGUCGACAAGACAUGCUCCGACAAAAAUUCAACAUGUUCAAUCAUGUAUUGGGAGAAACAUUGGAAAAUCAAUUGCAAAGAUUUAUCACACUAACCACUAAAAUGAGCUCCGCAGGUGUGAUGGUUACCAGAUCUGAAAUCAACAAGAAGUUACUAAAUUCUCUUCCAAAAUCAUGGGACAUGUUUGUCUCAGUGAUUAAAAAGAUAAAAGACCUAAACUGUUUAAGCUUGUCUGAAACAAUGGUAAUCAUCAAAGUUUGCGAUCUUGAUGAUAAACAAAGAGAAAUCAAUCAUGCCAAUUCAUACUCUACAGCAAAUCUUGGACUUCAAAAUAACAACACUGCUUUUUCAAGCUUCACCACUCAUCAAAAUACUCAAUUCCAAGUUCCUCAAGUUCAACCUCAUACAGUCCAUUAAAACAUACCAUACAUCAUACCUAACAUGCAACAAACUCAAAUCCCUCAAACUAUAUCUCAAGUUGGAUCUAGUGUUUUUCCCUCCACAGAUGUUUCAGUUCAAUCUCAUGGAAUUGGUUCCGAAAGUUCAGUUACAAAAGAAAAAGAGGAAAAUAUGGAUUUAGCUACUGGGUUGGUGAACUGAUACAAUGCCUUUGUUGCUGGAGAACUCUCUCCACCACUUUCAUUCACUGAUCUUGAUCAAAUCCAUCCUGAAGAUGUGGAAGAAAUGGAUAUUACUUGGCAAAUGGCAAUGGCAGUAUUCAGGGCUAAACAAUUCACAAAAAAGACUGGAGAGAAUAAUUGGGGUGUAAAUUUUGAUAAAAAGAUGGGUUUUAGCAAAGGAAAGUUACGUUGUUAUAAUUUUCAUGAACCAGGACACUUUGCAAGGGAAUGUCCAAAACCAAAUCAGCGAGAAAACUCCGAAAGAACCAUGGUGCCAGUAACUUACGUUCACAGCAACAACAGAGGAUCAUCUUCAAACAAUCAGUCUGCAAACAUGGCAAUGGUAGCUCAAUCGUUCAACUAGGAAGAUCAAGUUCAGGCCCUAAACAUUUCAGAUGCUGAAAAGGCAAAUCUUGCUCAAGUCAAGGAUGAAAGUAAAGAAAUUGAAGCAGAUCCAGAGGAGGAGAUGAUGAAUUUGCAGUUUGCAUUCAUGGUUCAGACCACUCCUGAACCAGUCAAAUCUGAGGUUAGUGAAUUCGGUUGUUCUCAAUCUUGUAUUAAAACUGUUAAGUUUUUGAGAGAUCAAAUUGAAAUAAUCAAAAGAGGGAACGAGGACAUGAAAUAUGAGGGAUAUACUCUUAGAAAAAAUCAAAAGCCCAUAAAAACUCAAUUAGAAAAUAAAACAAAAGAUUUUAAAAAAUUGCAAGAGGAUUACAGCAACAAAUGCGAGAACUAUGAUCAUCUCAAAAGAAAGCUUGCUGCUGUAACCUUGGAACUUGACACAUUGAAAAAUCGUUUUGAAAAAGCUGAAUUUAAUUUCAAAAAGUACGAUGGGUCAAGUGAAAAGAUUGCAAAAUUAAUUGAAGGUCAAUUACAUUGGAGAGAUAUUACUCAUGCAAAUCAAAUAAAAGUUGGAUUAGGUUUUGAGAGUGUCCCUCCUCCUUUCAAUCACAAUUACACUACUAUUCCUCUGUCUCAAGAAGAAAUUGACAGAGAACCUUGCAUGGUGUAUGGAAAGUCAGCUUCUGAGCAGGAAAUACAGUCUAGUUAUGAGACUUUGCAUACUAACGUUUUUACUUCAAGUGCAGAUAUAUCAAUAGUUCAGGGGGAGCAUGCUGCUGAAACUUUUGAGUCAAAUAAUGUUGUGAUUGAGUCUAGUGUUAAUUACAGUAAUGAGUCUGUGUCAAAAUCAAACACAAAUGUUUUUGUGUCGGGUGGUAUUUUAUUACAGUCUGACAAUGUUCUUUCUAAUAAUGUUGUUUCUGAUCAAACUACUAAACCUGAUCUACAUGUCUCUGCUUCUUACACAUCUGUUACUAAAUUCUAUGAUGAAUCUUGCAAGUGUAAAUGUGUUAAAAAUGAAAAAGCAAAGAAUAACAUUGUCAAAAUUAGUGCCAAAGCUACUGAUGACAAACAAAUUUGUUUUAACUGUGGCACUGCUAGACACAUUGCAAGAAAUUGCAUGAACCGGAUGUUUGUAUCUCAUACAACAAAAAGGAGGGAGAAUGAAUUUUAGGGACGAUCUUUGACUAGAAAAAUUCCCAAAAUUCAUUCUAGAAAUGGAGAUUUGAAUACAACAUUAAAAGAAAAAAUUCGAAAGAUUUCAAAAGAACAAACAGGUUUUUCACAAAAAUAACAGAAGUUUACCAAAAUCAACUCAGGCCAAGCCUAAGUCGAAUUUGUCAAAGAGCAGGAAAGGAUCUUCUAACUCUUCAAGUAGGAAAUCCACCGGUUCAAAUCAAACUAACAAAUUCUUGAAACCUAACUUUCAAUGGAUUCCAAAAAAAAUUUCAGAUCAAUCUCCAUUACUCUCCAAUUCAAAUGAAAAACUUGUAAAAGGAAAGAGUCAACCUAGGAUUGUGAUGACCUGGGUUCCCAAAACUAAAUAAUUCCAUUCAUCGUGCAGGGACAGUUGCAGAGGAAUGUCGCCAGACCUUGGUAUGUCGACAACGGCUGCUCCCGGCACAUGACUAGAGAUAUAUCCCAAUUGCACGACAUUCAAACUUUUAAUUGGGGAUAUGUUUCUUUUGUGGGCGGAGAGGGUGGAAAAAUUACUCAAAGAGGAAUUGUGUCAAAUGGAGUGUUGAAUUUUGAGAAUGUUAACUUUGCUCCGGAACUGAAGCACAGCUUGCUGAGUGUAUCCCAGAUAUGUGACAAGGGCUACUCUACUCAUUUCACAGAUAAGGAAUGUCUGAUCUUAAAACCUGGCAUUGUUAUCCCUGAAGAUUGGAUUCUUGUAAGAUCUAAGCGAGAUGGAAAUGCCUACAUUAUAGACAUGAAUAGCAACUUCCCUGACAAUGUCACGUGUCUCUUCUCCAAAGCUUCUGAACAAAAUGCGAUGUUAUGGCAUCGUCGUCUCGGUAAUGCGAAUGCAAAGAACCUGAAUCGGCUUGCGAAGAACGAAUUGGUCCGCGGGCUACCCAUCAAAGAUUUCAUUACUUUUGACAAAUGUGUUUCAUGCGCUCAGGGAAAACAUCAUCGAAAACCACACUUUCCAAAGCAGAUAAACUCCAUAAGUCAAGUGAUCGAGUUAUUGCAUAUGGAUUUAUUUGGACCGGUUAAUGUUUUGAGUAUCAAUCGCAACUCUUUUUUCCUUGUUGUGAUAGAUGAUUACUCUCGUUUCACUUGGGUUUUCUUUUUGUCUAACAAAGCUAAAAUUCCUAACCUUAUCAAAAGAUUCAUUGUGAUGAUUGAAAAUCAGACUAACAAUCGAGUGAAAGUGCUGCGUACCGAUAAUGGAACAGAGUUCAAGAACGCUGUUCUUGAUCAUUUUUGCACUGAGAAAGGGAUUGUACAUCAAUUCAGUUCUGUUCGAACACCUCAACAAAACGGGGUUGCCGAACGUAUGAAUCGAACUCUAAAAGAUGCCGUAAGGACGAUGCUCUAUGAUUCCAAGCUUCCUGUAUUUUUCUAGGCAGAGGCGAUUAACACCGAAUGUUAUGUUCAAAAUCAUGUGCUAAUCAACAAAGCCAGAAUGAAGACACCGUAUGAGAUUUUAUUUGGACACAAGCCAUCUGUCAGUCAUUUCCGAGUAUUUGGCUGCCCUUGCACCCUUCUCCACUUGGAAUCUAAUCCCAAAUUCAAUGCCAAAGCCGAUGACUAUUACUUUGUUGGAUAUGCUGCUCGAACUGCGUACAGGGUUUACAAUAAGAAGACUAAAGAAAUUGUAGAAUCGUUUGGUGUUCGUUGGCUUGAGGAAAAUCAGACAGAUGCUAGAGUGGGUCCUGAUUGGUUAUUUGACUACACAUCUCUUUUCAAAUCAUUCAAUGUGUCUUCAGAUAAUCAAGAAGGAUCUACUUCCAAUUCGAAGAUUCCUAGUGAAGAUGAAGAAGAUGAAGUUGUUUAUCGACCUCCAUUGAUUUCCUCUGAUCCUCCUUUGGUACCCUCUACUCAUUUUGAAUCUUCUGAGCCUCCUCAACAACCUUCUCCUGAUGCUAUUGCUACUCCUUUAACUCCAAUGGAAAGAGAGUUCAUGAACCACGAGACUUCCGCUGUAACUUCAAAUUUGAUGGAACUUCUCUUUCCAAAAAAUAUUGCAGAAGAGUUUGUAGCGGAUUGUUCAAACAAACCUUGUUCAUCCUCUGCAGACCAUAUAUCAAAUGAUGGAGCGAUUAAUAUUCAUAAUCUUCCUGUUACUGUCAAUGAUAUUAGUCAUCAGAUCCCUACACGCAUUCAGCGAGAUCAUCCGAUAGAGAACNUUGGCCAGUUGGGCGACGGGGUUCAAACGAGAAGUAAAAGUGGGGAUGUAAAUACAUGUCUUUACUCUUGCUUCAUAUCUCAAAUAGAACCUAAAUCUGUCGAAAUGGCUCUGAAUGAGCCCAGCUGGGUUGAAGCCAUGCAUGAUGAAUUAAAUCAAUUUGAGAAACUCGGAGUCUGGAAAUUGGUGGAGCUACCAAAAGGAAAGAAAUCUCUUGAUACUCGUUGGGUAUUUCGAAAUAAACAAGACGAUUCAGGUGUCAUUGUGCGCAACAAGGCAAAAUUGGUGGUUCGAGGGUUUCGACAAAUUGAGGGUCUUGAUUAUACAUAAGUUUAUGCUCCAGUUGCUCAGUUGGAAGCCAUUCGCAUCUUUCUUGCUUAUGCUUCCUACAUGAACUUUACUGUAUACCAAAUGGACGUCAAGACGGCUUUCUUGUACGGCAAAGUCAAGGAGGAGAUUUACGUUGACCAACCACCUGGUUUUGUUAAUUCAUCUCUUCCAAACCAUGUUUACAAGUUAGACAAAGCUUUGUAUGGAUUGCAUCAAGCUCCUCGAGCUUGGUAUGCUACUCUUACUCAGCAUUUGCUCAAUCACGGCUAUUCCCGAGGCACCAUUGAUCAAACCUUAUUUCUCAAGCAUGUUGGUCCAGAUCAAAUUCUCGUUCAAAUUUAUGUGGAUGACAUCAUUUUUGGGUCGACAAGCCAGCAACUUUGCAAGGAGUUUGAAGCGGUGAUGAAGAAGCGCUUUGAGAUGAGUUCACUUGGGGAAAUGACCAUGUUUUUGGGGCUUCAGGUCCAACAAUCUUCAACCGGAAUCCUUAUUCAUCAAGCAAAAUAUGUGGAAGAUGUACUGGAGAAGUUCGGGUUUCAAGACGCAAAACCUGCUCUUACGCCCAUGGCGGAACGGCCUCUUCUGACUCCUGAUCUUGAGGGUGAAUCCGUAGAUCAAACUCAUUAUCGAUCAAUGAUCGGAUCACUCAUGUAUCUUACUGCUAGUCGCCCAGACGUCAUGUUUGCGGUCUGUCAAUGUGCUCGCUACCAGGCUAAUCCUAAACUCUCUCAUUUAAUUGUUGUUAAAAGGAUUUUUCGGUAUCUCAAAGGGUGCCCAAAACUGGGUCUUUGGUAUCCGAAAAAUCCCGAAUUUGAUCUUUAUGCUUUUGCAGACAGCAAUUAUGGUGGAUGUGAGCUUGAUAGAAAAUCGACUUCAGGAGGAUGCCAAUUUCUGGGAGAUAGAUUGGUGUCAUGGCAGUGCAAGAAGCAGCACACAGUCUCAACCUCAACAGCAGAAGCGGAAUAUGUUGCUGCAUCUGCUUGUUGUUCUCAAGUCAUCUGGAUCCAACAUCAAUUGUUGGACUACGGUUUGAAUUUUCAAGAAACCCCUAUUUUUUGUGACAAUGAGGCUGCGAUUCAAAUUGCCAAAAACCCGGUCUUGCACUCAAAAACCAAGCACAUCGACAUUAAAAUUCAUUUUAUUCGAGAAUGUUAUGAACGUUUGCUUAUUCGGUUAGAACAGGUCCGCUCUGAUAAUAAUGUAGCAGAUCUGUUCACCAAGCCUUUUAGCAAAGCUCGAUUCGAUGUGCUGGUUAAUUUUCUAAAAAUGAUUCGUUUUGAGGAUUGAUUUUUAAAUAAAUUUGUGCAUUUCAUUUCUUUUAUGCACAAAUUUAGGGGGAGAAAAUCCAAAAACAUUAAAAAACUAAAUAAAUAAAUAAAUAAAUAAAUAAAUAAAACAUUAAAAAUUUGAAAAACCAAAAACAUUAAAAAAAUAGAAAAUCCAAAAACAUUAGAAAAUCAGAAAAAUAAAAAUUAUUAUGCUUGUUAUAGAAUGUGUUUGAGGGAUAUGUUUUGGGAAGUGAUAUGAUCAUGUGAUAACAGGCAACCUGAGUCUGUGUAACGUACCCAAAGUUGAAGGGUCUAUGCUCUGGUUUGAUGUGUCGGUAGGCAGGAAAUAUUUUUAAAUGGACAUGACUAGGCAGAUAUGAACUUAGGAAAUCAAAUGACUUGACAAAUCUUGACCUAGAUAGUUUCGUUUAGCCUGACAAUACGACGCUCGGAUAGGUUGAGCAGGGAGAUAAAUAUGGGAAUCUAGUCGUCACAUUAAUUCAACCCGUACUUGGAACUGUGGAUUAACUUUUCCUUGAUGUGCGGAUUCUGUCCUUAAUUCCGGUUGGAUGGAGCGACUGGUAAACUCCGAUAAACUAGGUCUGUAGAAUAUCAUUUUCUAUCUUUCUGUCUGUUAGUCAUAUGUUGUCUCCUUUGCGCGACUUCUAAUCCGACCUGGUACACAACAUAUGCAACUCUAUUUCUCUGUAGGCUAUAUAUAUAAAUGUGUGAAAUACUUCUUAUCUGUUAGCCAUAUGCUGUCUCCUUUGCGCGACUUCUAAUCCGACCUGGUACACAGCAUAUGCAACAUUCUUCUUCUCAACCCCUCUGAAGUAGUUAGCAAUAAAAUUAUGAAUCUCUUCUCUCUCUGAAUGGUUGUCUACUCACCCGGUGUAAGAAGUACUCUGGAAGUUCUUGAUGGUUGGGGCAUAUCAGGAAGCGGGAAACACGUUCUAGUACACUUAAAAUUAAACACAUACAAAUUGUCUGUAGAUCUCGCUGCUCAAUUUAGGUGGACAACAAUAUCCCUGGUCAUCAUCAGCUAAUGGUCCUUAAGAUAUAGUAUCUAGAAAGUUAGGAUCAGAUAUAAUUAUCUAGGAACUUAGGAUCACAUUGUCUUGUCACUUAUAGUGUGUCCUAUUUUUGUCACAAUUUUUCGUGUUUAAGUGCACCACAAUACCGACAAUCGACCAGACAAAGAUGUGAAUAUGAAAGGUACCGACAAGCAGAUAAUGGUCGUCUAAAAACUUUGAUCCCUAAUCCUCAAUAGGUUAAAGAAAUUUAUAUAGGUUUAAAUUGAUUCUUGUCGUUAAUAAGUUCCUUUUUUAUUUUAUUUUUAAUUUUUAUUAUUUUUAUUUUUAUUUUUAUUUUUUAUCUUAAAUUUUUCUUUAAUUCUUUGAAAUUAAAACUCUAUUAAUCCUCAAAACAAUUCAUUUUUGAGAAAAUUGUGAGUGAAAAGGGCUUUGGGAUAAAUUAUUAAAGGAAAAGGGGGAGAAAGGGUAAAUUCUGUGCAUAUAUAUAGCGUGUGUGCGGUGAGCCUUUUUCACUGUCAUUUACUGUUGCCUCAACCGCACACACAUACUUUCUCUCUCAAACUCUUUGAAAAUUUCCAUCAAGUUUCUGUGAAAACAAGAUCUUACUCGAGAAUUCUCAUGAACACGGUUGAAUUUUUUAUCACUUUCACAAAUUUCUCUAUUGUUUGCUGUUAAUUUUUCAUAAAAUUUGUUUGUUUGGGUAACCACACUCUGUGUGUGUGCAGCCGCACACGUGAGUGUGCGGCUGACCGUGUGCUGCCACACAAGAGUGUGCGGCUGACCGUGUGCUGCCACACAAGCGUGUGCGGUUGACCGUGUGCGGCUGCAUGAUUUUGUGGAUGUGCAGCUGUAUGUAUCUGCGUGUGCGGCUGAACAUUUCCUUGUUGCCCUAAUUUUUCAUGUGUUUACUUUCAGAUUAAAAUGGGAGACCAGGAGUUUGCUAAAGCUCAUAAUUCUGCAAUUUUUCUUGAAGACCCUCCUGCAACCCAUAGUGACUUGAAAUUCAUUGUGGAUGGUUUGAAGAAAUCAUGCUUGGUUCACGCCCUAAAUACAAGUCCUGCUAUCUACCAGAGUUUGAUUAAAGAAUUUUGGAGAAAUGCUGUUGUAAAGAAAAAUGGUCAGGGUGACAAAUUUGUUGAAGCAACAAUUGAAGACAAGAAAAUCCAAGUAACAGAAAGCAUCAUUAGAAAAUCCCUUCAAAUAUCAGACAAACCUGAGUAUACCAUGGAGAUUGAUAUUAAUCAAACUCAGGAUGUCUUGGAGCAUAUGGACUAUGAGGGAACAUUUCCCCCUACAAUCAAGAAGUUGCUUCCUCUGUGUUGGAAGUAUUUGGCUCAUGUGUUCGUAAGCUGUAUUUCUGGUAGGAGAUCUGGAGCAAAUGAGAUUUCUCUAGCCAACACUGGUGCCAUUGCAGCAUUGGCUGCAGGUUUUGAGUAUAAUUUCUCAAAGUUCAUUCUGAAUGAAAUGAUUUUAAAUCUUGAAGGGACCAAAAGAGACAAAUUCUGGAUGUAUCCAAGAUUUUUGCAAAUUAUCCUCAAUGUGAAUCACGCCGAGCUGCAGAGAGGAAAUGAUAUAUUGGAUUUCAAAUCCAUUGGUCCAAGUGCCUUUGGGCUAAUGAAACAAAAGAGAGGCGGGAAAUUUGUAUUUGAAGGAAAAUUCCCUUUGAUAAAAUUUGGAAUUUUUAAAGAGGAUGAUAGAGAAGAAUCGGAAGAUCAAUCUGUGCCAAUUGAAAAUGAAGAUAUUCAUCACUCUCCCUCCGAACCUGAAGUCGAAGAAAUUCAUCACUCCCCCACAGCUUGUGUAGCUGAUGAACAUGAUUAUCAGAAGGCAAAUGAUUCAAAAUCUUCUCGAGGGGAUGAUGACGAUAAUAUUUAUGAUGAUGUAGAAUUCUUGAAAGAAAUUAACUUUAUAGGAUUCAAUGAUGACAUUCCAAUAAACAUAGAGUUUGAUCUUGGUGAUGAAGAUUUUGAUUCUCUUCUCAAUAUUCCCAGCAGCCGUGCAAAUAAAGUCAAUGAAGUUGCUUCUCUAGCAACCAAGACUAGAGAUGAAGGAAACUUUCUCAAAAUUAUACUCUCCACCUCGAAGCCCUUGGAGGUCACAACAAGCCAAGGAGAUGUGACAUCAGAGAUUCCUCCCUCUGUUUCACUUGUCUCAACAUCAGCUCCAAUCAUUUCUGACUUUUCGGAACCUCAGAUUUCUCAGACUUCCAUAAGAACAAGCCAAUUUCUUGAAAGUCUGGUGAUUCCCGCUGUAAAAAGUGCUCCUCAAGUUACCUCAACAAUCACUGCAACCUCCGCUCACUCUCCUCCAAAGCAGACUGAUGAAGGUCCAAGUACCAUAUUUGAGACUGGUGCAUCAUCUUCUAUUCCAGAAUAUUCUCCAACUCGACCUUUUCUAGAUGAAGCUUCCAUCAGAUUAGUAAGACAUUUGCCUCAAUCUAGUCCAACCUCUUCACGUGGUAAAGGAAUAUCAUUUAACGAGGGUCGGACAGAUGAUGACAAAUUCUCUUCGUCUGAUCCUCGAGAGGAAAUCGGAGUUCUCCGCCAACAGCUCAUUGAAAAAUCAAUUCAAAUGGAUCAACUUUCUGCAUAUGUCUUUGAGCUCAGGGCAAAGGAUGAAGAAAAGACCAAACAAAUCAAAGAUCUACAAACGAUUCUUGGAUACAUUCUAGCCAGUUAUUUCAAUCUCAAGAACGUUUUGAAUGAUGCUUUUGGUGAAAAAGUCAAAUCCCUCUUCCAACAGCCUCAUAGAGUCGUUGAUCAUCUUUCUGCUCAAUCACCUGCUGAAACUGAUGAUCUACCUGUUGACCCACCUGCUCCAAGAACAACUACCAUUGUAGACACAUUUGAAAAAGAACCAGAAGGAAGCAGAGCCAAAAUCACAAUCAAACAGGGUAAAAGGAUUGUGACUGCAAAUCAACGCGAAGGACUUCUAUUCAUGAAAAAUACAAAUGAGAAUCGCAAAGCUUGGCGAUAAGUACUGUAACAGAUUUGAAAAAGAGAAAGUUUGGCGAUAAGUAUGGUGACAGAUCUGGUAUCCGUAUGUGGGCUUUCGAUCCAGAAACGAAUUUGUGGGUGGUGAAGCGAAAUUCAGGAAUAUCUGAAUGUUACAAAAGCACCCAUGAUUUCAAUUCUUGGACUAAGACUGAUCUAGCAAAAUUAUCUAGAGUCCCCUUUCACAAUCCCUCGCAAGAUCCAAGUGCAUCAAACUUUAAGAGGUUCCUUGAUAGGCAGGUCAAAGAAAAUUUUCCCAGUAUGAAGACUGCCAAAGCCCUUUAUCGAAAGGAUAAGGAUGUUCUCGACCCAGAAACAGGCAAACCUAUGAAGAUUAUCUUAUGGCCUGCUAGAAAGAAGCAAAAAGAAAUUCCAAUCCCCCAGCACUUCCAAGAGGGAUAUCUUGAUAACAUGGAAUUUUGGGCAUACGAUGACGAAACUGCAACUGCCGCUAUCAAAUUCAAAGAUCAAGAACAUGUUUUGAGGCUGAUUAAUCCAAAAGAUCUUCUUCGUUUUCGAGAAAGGGAUAUCCGGACUUUGGCCCGUCACCAGAUAAUCUGCAGAAAAGACGUAAUGGAAGCUGCUGCUAAAGAAUACACUGCAAUGGUAGCUACAGUCAUAAAUGGAAGAUUGUGGAUGGGAUCAAUGGGGAGAUCAGAUUUGAGGUUGUUUGAGAAGCCUGCUGAGGAGCCAAAGGAAUGAUGACAAGACUAUGCUAGUCUCAAACCAAGGGGGAGACUGAAAGAACAUAAUUUGUGGUUUGAGCUAGGCAUCAUUUUUUUAUAGAUAAUUGUGUCAUUUUGCAGUGUUUGUGUUUUGUUAUGUAAUGUGUGCUGCCACACAUGUGUGUGCGGCCGCACACAUGUGUUUGGUUGCACUCUCUUGUGCUGGUAAGAGGAGUACUAUUUAUAGCAACUGAGUUGUGUCAGUCUGCACUUUUGGCUAGGUGUCAGAGCUCUGCAGCAGUUGUACUUUUCUCCAGAUGUACUUGACAUUUACUGAAUAUAGAUGUGUGCAUGCUUGAUUUAACUUCUUCUUCAUCUCAAUCUCAAUCUUAUUGCAAUUAACUUCAUUUAUUACUAAAUUGGAUCCUUAGUUUUGGGACUUACAUUAUCAAUAUGCAACCGACUCGCAAGAUACAACUCACACAUCUCGGUUUCAAGAAUAUAAGAUGUUAUCGUCUCACCAAUCACUCGUGAUACAAUUCAUAGAGUGAUCCAAGUGAGCAUGGGUUUAAUCCAAUGCUCAAAUUCAUAUUCAUAAGCACUCAUGAAUGUUGCAGCAAACAUUUGCUUAUGUCUAAUACUCUUUAGACAAUCCACACACCAAUUCACGACAGUCUUUAUUCAUACCUACUUCCAACAUAUGAACGACUGUGGCCCGUUCGAAUAAUUUGACUGUUCUAAACCAAUUAAAUUAUUCAGGAAGUCAAAACAUGCAAAGUGAAACACAAGAAUAAUACUAAUCCCAUAUGGCCUCAAACCUUUGAGCAUAAAUAAAACACCUUUUAUUUAUCACCAUAUCGAUUACUCAUUAUUUGUUGUUUCGGGUAAUCAACUUCUUACUUGAAUUAUUACACUUGUCCCAUGCUCCUAGCAUGCACACAAUGUUUACCUAUGGUUCUUACUUUGUGAAAUAGACCAAAUUGAGCACAUUCCCAAUCAUUCUCAUUUCACAACUCCAAAUCCUUUUUCCAUAAGUGAAAGAAUAUCAAAUUCUUGCUACUUAUAGAUUAUGCUAGAUUCUAACAUUUUAUGCAAUGAUCCUUUCGUGAUAUCACUGCACCAAAGUCACAAAGACUAUUGCCAAUGAUAUUACAAAGUCCUCUAUCGGAGAUUGUUACAAGACAAUUCCUUAGAUAUGAUGUCUCUCACUCAAAGUACAUUCCUUUGAACAUCCUUUUGCAUAAAAGUUUCUAAUCUAGUCAUAGAUUUUCAAUAUUCAAUUCCCAAUAUGGACACGUUUCCAUAUUUUCCAUAUGACAACUCAUUCUUAAUAGAAUCUUAUCUAUUCAUAAUAAUGUCGAUAUGGUCCAUCCAAUAUGAAAACAUUUCCAUAUUUUCCAAUACUAUACUUCCAACUACUCACAAGCGACCAAUCCUCGGCGAACUUUGGAUUGUCCUUUGAUAGUUGUUUAAUUAUUUUAGUCAAAACCGAUUCUAGUCCUUUUUCCCUCUAAAUGCGCUAGACAUUUGGAAAAUUUUAGAAUGGUCAAACAUUAAAGCAUUUGCAAUCGAUCCUAUACCCGAAGCGUAUGGGACACGACGCAUAAUGUUUUAUUUGCUAUGUUCUCAAAAUUCGAAUUGUGAAGAGGAAUGCCGUAAUCAUAAUCGAAAUUUAAGAACACACUAUAUACUUCUAAUUAAAUUAUUAACAUUCCACAACCUAAGCCUUUAGAUUUGAAAUGAAGCAUAAUAUUCUCUCCCUUAAUUAUAGUAAAACAACUAUUUCAUCCUUACAACUUUCCUUAAUAAUCAUACUAUCAUAACAUUUAUGCUCCCACUAUCAUGAUGAUUAUUAUAAACAUAACACUUAUGCUCCCACUAGCUUUGACAUGUAUUCAGAAACAACGUAACUUUCAGAAAAACAAUGCUUAUUGAAUUUCUUAAGUUCAUGUUUCUAAUACUUAAUGCUUUGAUAAUGUUUUAUCAAGGCUUCUUGAACUUAUACACCUUUGCCUUAGAUAGUUCAUAUGUGUGUCUAAACAAUUGCCAAACCUCACAAUUCAAAUUAUGGAAAGGGAUACCGUAACCAUAAUCGAAUUUGAGAAUGCAAUUUUACAAUCACUAUCUUCUUAAAAUCUUUCUUAGUGAAAGUAUUUCCUCACAAUCAUUUUCAUGAAGGAGGAAAUCUUAUGACACUUAGAUUUAAACGGUGUAUUUGUUCCUAUCCAUGUGAAUUUGUGAAAACCAAAGUUUACGACAAAAUCAAACUCAUAUGGAUCGAACUUUCUUAAUCUUGAUUUCUUGCCUUCUGGUAGCACAGUUGCCCACCAUGUCUUCCAAGUAGUUAAGAAGCUCACCCUUUCCUAUCAAUGUACCUUUCAUUGAUUAAGCUGCCUUGCCUUUUAUGCAUUCAAAAUGAGAACUCAUAGAACUCACAUGCAUAAUUAACUCAAUUGGAACAGCACAUAAACAAAAUAAUGUCAACACAAUAGGUUGUAAACCUCAACUCGUGUGCUAGUGAUGAUCGAUAAGGUCUAUUUUGAUUUGUUCUGGAAACCUUUCAAGACCUUUAAGACUCCCACUGACUCCUUGACAUAUAAGAUUCUCUUGUCAAUAACCUUUUCUUGACAAACAAUUAUUCAAGAGUUAGUGUAGCUUUUAUCAAAACACUUCAUAAAUUGGUCAUAGGUUGUCUUUGUCUUAUCCAAGACAUUACAACUCUCCAUAUUUGAUGAAUGUUAUAGACCUUCUUAAUACUUGUUACUCAAUGUCACAAUCUUAACUCUAAGACUUGUUUUGGAACGAAGUAUGAUUGACUUCUUGAUUUAACAAUUUUUUUAAUUCUUGAUUCCUCUUCUUAAACAUACAAUUAUACUAAGACUCACAUAGAGGAUCAAUUGAGAUAUGGUUCUUAAUCAUUAAUACCUAUCAUAAAACAUAAAAGGUACUCUCCCAUCUUCUUAGAAUGGAGAAACUUUUAUCUUUCUGCCUACUUGAUUCUUCUUAUUCGUUUUGCUAUUGAUUUAAACUUUUUCAAUCAAUUCAGAAUCACACUUAAUCUUAUAACUAUAAUCAUAUUUACUAAACCUUUAGUAACUCAUGACGAAUGUCUUUAUUACUGUUGUGGUGGACAUGAUCAACACACAACUUUGUGUACUCGAUCUCUUAGUCGUUCACUUGACACUUUGUCAAUGAAUUAGUCUAAUUUCCAAAUGUGAAAUUUCUCAUUCAUCUUGAAACCAAGUUGCAUGAUUCCAAGUUUCUGUCCAAUUGAAAUUUGGGCGAUGAGAAACUCUCCCUAUUUGGUAAAUUUUCGACAUUUUCUCAAAUAACAUAAUUAAGAGUCAAAUCCAUUAUUGCUAAUAUUAGAAACCUUCAAACAUCAAUUUUCAUGCAUGCCAUUGCAAGGAUAAAUAAAUAAUAUAAAAUCAAAUUUUAUUUUAUUGCGGAAAAAAAUUGUCCUUACCAUGCAAUUCAUUGGAAAACUAUGCUAAUACAUCUUUCUUAGCAAUCUUAUUCUAACUCUAAGUAGUAGCUCAAGAAUCUAAUCUUCGAGAAAUGCGAUCGAAAUCCAUUCCUUCCAGGUUAGAUUCUGCUCACUUCUUCCCUUAAGCUUCCUUUCUUUUCAAUUGUAAUCUUAUCACAUUAUGUAUUAAGAAUCUAGAAUAGAAGCUCAAAAGAGUUAGUUAAUGGAUUUUACCUAUAUUAGAGCCAUACGUUUCGAAUCUCCCAUCUCUUAGAUCUCUUAGGUAAAUGGGGCAGCUUCGUUUCCAAUGCCCUUUUCUCUUGGCAAUAAAAGCAAAUUGACUCUUUUGGAACAUGACAUGGAACUACUUCAAACAUUGCCUUUCUCUUAUGAUCAAACUUUUCGAUCAUAGCAUGUCUUUCGUUGCCAUUGUCUAUAUCCAUAGAGGUCUUGAAGGCAGAUUCACCAAUCAACUUUGCUUUUCUAUUGCGCCAAACCAUUGCUGAUUCAGCAGCAAUAAGCAUAUAGGUGAGAUAUAUAAGGGUCACGUCGCGGUUCAUCAUAUAGUACUCUCUUACGAACUCACUAUAUGAGUUAGGAAGUGACUGAAGAACCCAAUCAACAGCCAUUUCCUCACAGACAACGGAUCCCAACAUUCUUAACCUAUCAAUGUGUGACUUCAUCCCUAGGACGUGUGCACACACCGACUUUCCUUCUUUAUGUUUACUUGCCAAAAGGGCUUGAGUGAUCUUGAACUUUUCAAGCCUUUGAACUUGUGGGUUAGGGAGAAUAAUUGGAGGAGGUGGAGGAAGUGAAGCAUGAUUUCUUGUUCCUCGAUCGAAUCGUGGAAUAUCAUCUUCAUGUGGAAAGCUUGUUCCACGGGAUUUGGGAAGACCAUAGUUGUCGAACUUUGACAUCUACAAAACGGGAGAAAACGAAUUCAAGUUAGUUGAUUGAUUGAGUCCUUAGUAAAUCACCCAAAUGAGAUACUAAGGCUAGGACCCAACACAAUAUUCUACAACUCGGGAGAGGGAUGCCGUAACCCAAAUUGCAGAACAUUUGAAGGUAAGUGAAUGACGAUUCACUAAUUUCCACCAUGAAAAACGAAAAAGAAAUUUAAGUUUUAAAUCUAUGAAAACUCCUAGAUCCUUUGAGAUUCAUUGAACAUUUCAAUGGCAUGUUUAAAUCUCGAUAUGCCCCUCUUGUUUGUGACUGGGAUGCCGAGGAUCACAAAGCGGGUGUGAAUAACCAUGCAAACUUACAUGGUGCCCUCACAUGUUACAGUCACCUAUUCGAUGUGCCGGUAAACCACACACGCUCCACCGAACUAUGACAAACAUUGAGUCACCCUUUGCUACCUUUGCUUAGAACCAUUUAGUGUGCCGGUAAACCACACACGCUCCACUAACGUCUUCGCAAGGGCACAAAGUGUAAUUUCAUGGAAUUGCAUCAAUUCACUUUUGCCUAAGUAACUAAGAUUGGGAAUUUUAUGAAAACAUUUAGUUACUUUUAUACUUCAUUAUACUUAUAAUGGAAGGUUUCGUCCUAUCCUACCCGUUCGGCUAACGACCCUCCACUAGUCAAGAGUGCGGUGGGUAAGAGUGGAUACCCAUUCAAUCGCCAUUUUAUAGGCAAUUUCCUUAAACACCCCUUAUAGACCAGCUUCGUGAAUGAGGCCUACUAACGGUAAGACUGACUUUUACUCAUACAUAUAUAUAAUGUUAGACUUUUAAUGUUAUAUAUAGUAUAGGGUGUAUUUUACACUUUUAAAAUACUAGGUGGUCAAAUUUAACAAUUAUACUUUUAAUUCAAUUAAAUUGUAAACCUAAACUUUUAUGGAUUUAUUAAACCUCUUUUAAUUAUACACCUUAAUUAAUUAAUAAAACCAUAAGGGUGUGAUUUGAACUUUUUCAAAACUAUACUAGAGUUUUAGAAUUUAACAUUCCUAAUUAAACUUUUAAUCAACUUUUAAAUUCCAAAACUUGAGGGCAAGUUUUGAAACAUUUCAACACAUUAGGGUUUAGAAUUUAAAUAUACAUCAAAAUUAAACUAUUUAAUCAAAAUUUAAAUUCCAAAACUUGAGGGCAAGUUUUGAAACCUUUUUCAAAACAUUAGGGUUUCAACUAUUUAAAUUUCAAAACAACAAAACUUUUGGGUUCAAAUUUAAACUAUAAAACCUAAAGGGGAAAAUAUGAAACUUUUCAUAACAACAAGGAUCAAAUAACAAAUAAUCUAAAUUAACAUUUAAUCACAUAAUUAUCCAUAUUUGAUUUAUUUAAUGAUUUCUUGCAAAACAAUUUACCAAUUUAAUCAAAAUAAUUAAUCAAUUAUCACAUAAGGAAACAAAUAUUUUAUUAAUUGAUAAAUAUCUUCAAUUAGAUCAAGAAUAUAGUCAAAUAUAUCAUAAAAUCGGAUUUAUAUUGAUCUAAUAUGAUAAGGCAACUAUCCUUAAGCAAAAACAGCAGGAAAUCCCGGUUUUCCCUCCUUCUGACGAGCCGACUCGCCAAGUCAGGCAUGGACUCGUCGAGUCAGCAUGGACUCGGCGAGUUCAUCUAUGGACUCGGCGAGUCUAGCCUCUAGAAACAUAAAAAAAGAAUUUUUUUAAUCAUACAAUGCAUCAAUACAAUAGAUACCAACCUGGCUCUUAUACCACUAAUGGGUUUUAGUCAUAAGAACAUCCUAUGUGCUCAUACAAACCCUAAUGCUUGGAUCUAGGUUUCUCUAUUGUACAUGCAAGUUAUCCAAGACUAUAAACCCUAAUUCUAGCAUNNNNNNNNNNNNNNNNNNNNNNNNNNNNNNNNNNNNNNNNNNNNNNNNNNNNNNNNNNNNNNNNNNNNNNNNNNNNNNNNNNNNNNNNNNNNNNNNNNNNNNNNNNNNNNNNNNNNNNNNNNNNNNNNNNNNNNNNNNNNNNNNNNNNNNNNNNNNNNNNNNNNNNNNNNNNNNNNNNNNNNNNNNNNNNNNNNNNNNNNNNNNNNNNNNNNNNNNNNNNNNNNUAAGGGUUCUAUAUAUAGUGAGGCUAUUAGGGUUAUCUAACAAGGAAACCCUAAUUUGGAUGCUUAAGCCCUAAGAAACCCAUGGAUCCCUUUUCUUAAGGCCUUGGACGAUUUCCAUAUGGGUUCCCCCAUAGAAUUCGUCCACUCCUUAAUACAAGGCAAUCCAUGGCCCAAAUUACAAUUAUCUUAUAAUUACAAUUCUAGUCCCUUAAGUUUAACUAAUCUCUUUUAGUCACAAAACUAAUUACCAAUUAAUUAUUUCCUAAUAUUAAUUAAACAAUAAGAUUUGUCCUUUAAUAUAUUAUUCCCAUAAUAUAUUAAUAAAUCAUAUUUAAUCCUUUCUCUCCAUAAUUCAUCUUAUCAAGUUGCUUUGGUGAAGGCAACCCAAAAGGACCAUGCACCAUCGGGUCAAGUACAUACCAAAAUAGUUAUGGACUUAGAUACUAAUUCAACAAAAAUAUCCUAUAAAAUCGAAUAUCGAGGAGAUAGGCAUUUCAUGUAGCCCUAUGGAAACUUCUAUGGUGGAUACUGUUGGAUAAGGUGUCUACGUCCAUAACUACUUUUCUGGUAUGUACUUGACCCGACCCGACAUGGUCCAUUUGGGUUGCAUGGCACCAUGCAAUUGGAUAAACUAAAUGAGAGAAAUAACACAUAUGGUUUAUUAAUAUAUUAUAAGUUCUAAUAUAUUAAUAAUAUUAUUUAAUUAGUUUUGAUCAAGAAUUAAUUUAGAAUUAAUUAAGUGAUCAAAAGAUAACUAAUUAGAUAUAUGGGUAGAUUAAGUAAAUCUUCCAUAUCUUAUAUAGUGGGCUAAGAGGCUCCAUGGAUUAUCAAGUUGUGUUCCACCCAUAAGAUGCUCCAUGGAUUUAACCCAUGGAUCAGGAAAUGAAGAGUCAUGGAACAUUAGGGUUUACCUAAUGUCACACACUAUAUAAGCAAUGUAACUCUCCCCAAAAUCGGCUACACAAAAGAAAUAAGAGGGCUUGGCCGAUUUUGCAUGUGUUAGAGUAUUCUCUCAUGUUUAGUCUUUGGAUUUGGUGUUGUGUGAAGCAUUUGAGGCAUCACACUUGAGGUGCUAGGCUCACAAGGUUUCAAGGAACACUUUCAACAACAAGGUAUGUAGUUGUAUCUUUUAUACAAAGAAAAUUGUACCCCAUGUAUGCUAGAUAGGUUCAUAACCUUGGAAAAAAACAUUGCAUGAUUAUUAGACAAACAUAGAUCUAGGGUUAUUAGGGUUGCAUGCACACUUAGGAAGUGUUAGAAUGCUCAAAACCCAUCAGUGGUAUCAGAGCCUAGGCUUGCUUGUUUGAUUUUUGUGCAAACUGCUUGAAAAAUUGAGUUAUCUGCUUUCUACCCGUAUGAACUGGCCGAGUCCAUGGGGGGCCUCGACGAGUCCAUGGCCAAAUUCAAGGUACUCGUCGAGUCAAUUCAUGCACUCAACGAGUAGAGGCUGCAGUUUUCAGAAUUUCAAUUUUUGUUGCUGGAAAUGGACUAGGAACAUUACCCUAAACUGUUUUGGUGUUUUAAAACAUGUUUUAGUUGGUGUAAUGUUCAUGUUAAUCCAUUUACAAUGAAAAAUUAUCAAAAUUACAAGUUUUAAGUGUAAUUUUUAACUCAUAAAACCAUUUAAUUAGAACUGGACUCUUCAUUUUGUAACCUUUGCCAACUUUUAUGAGUUUUAUGAUUCUUAAAUGUGACUUUUCAUAUAACUUGAGGACAAGUUAAAAAAAACACACAUUGGAAUCAAAUCUUAGAUUAAAAUGGAUUGAAAUCAACUAUUUCACACAACUUUUCUAUUAAUCUAAGAACAAGAUAAUUCAAAUAAUCAAUCUUCAAGAAAUUAGCAUCAACAUACAAACUAAUACAAAUCUUGAAAUUAUGAAAUUAUCUUAGAAAUUGGAUUAGCAUGAACAUUACCACAUCAAAAACAAGUUUAUAUGUCCAAAAGCAUGUUAGGGUAAUGUUCCUAGUCCAAUUCCAGCAAAAACAAUCGAAUAUAUGAUGUCAGGGGGUCCAACUCGUCGAGUGCACGAACCAUUCAUGGACUCGGCGAGUCUGCUGUGCAGACAACAUCAAAACUCGAUUUUCUCAGCUACUUUUGCAAGUAUAACAAGAAAACAAGCCUAGACUCUGAUACCACUGUUGGGUUUUGAGCAUUCUAACACCCCUAAGUGUACGUGCAACCCUAAAUACCUUGGAUCUAUGUUUUCUCUAUUAUACAUGCAAUUAUGAACAACCAAGGUAUUAUCCUAAUCUAGCAUACAAAAUAAUGAAUAUAACAAGAUAGAAUACAUACCUCUUUGAUGUAGAAUGUCUUCACGAAACUUGAGUGCCUAGUGCCUCAAGUGUGACACCUCAAAUGGUUCACACUGUUGGAUUAAUGUCUAAUUCCAUAACUAUAAUUGGUAAGACUUGACCCGACCCGACAUGGUCCAUUUGGGUUGCAUGGCAUCAUGCACUUGGAUAGACUAAAAUGAGAGAAAUAAGACACUUAUGGUUAUUAAUAUAUUAUAAGUUCUAGUAUAUUAAUAAUAAGAAUAAUAAGAUUAUUUAAUUAGUAUUGAUCAAGAAUUAAUCUAGGAUUAAUUAAGUGAUCAAAAGAAGACUAAUUAAAUAUAUGGGUUGAUUGUGUAAAUCGUCCCUACUUAUAUAGUGGGCUAAUGCUCCAUGGAUUAUCUAGUUGGGCUAAAACCCAUAUGAUUCUCCAUGGAUGCUCCAUGGUGUUUUGAACCUAUGGAUCAUGUAAAUGAAAGUCCAUGUCAAUUAGGGUUUACAUGGUGUAACCCUAACUAUAUAAGCAUCAUAUUAUUCACCAAAAUCAGCCACUAGUGUGUGUAAUGAAGGACUAGCUGAUUUCAUGAGUUGUAGAUUUCUCUCAAGAUUAUUCCAAGUGUAUUUGGUGUUGUGUGAACCAUUUGAGGUGUCACACUUGGGGCACUAGGCACUCAAGCUUCAUGAAGACUUUCUACAUCAAAGAGGUAUGUAUUCUAUCUUGUUAUAUUCAUUGUUUUGUAUGCUAGAUUAGGAUAAUACCUUGGAAGUUCAUAUUUGCAUGUAUAAUAGAGAAAACAUAGAUCCAAGGUAUUUAGGGUUGCAUGUACACUUAGGAGUGUUAGAAUGCUCAAAACCCAACAGUGGUAUCAGAGCCUAGGCUUGUUUUCUUGUUAUACCUGCAAUAGAAGCUGAAAAAACGAAUCUGGUGCUGUCUGGCCAUCAGACUCGGCGAGUCCAUCAGGAGACUCGACGAGUCCAUGCCUAAAAAGUGAUGAAUUCGAUCCAACUCGCCGAGUUUGUUCAUGCACUCGACGAGUUGGACCCCCAGACAGCAUAUUUUCGAGUUUUUUGGCUAGAAAUGGACUAGGAACAUUACCCUAAGUUGUUUUUGAACUUAUAAACUUGUUUUUGAUGUGGUAAUGUUCAUGCUAAUCCAUUUUCAAAGAUAAUUGUCAAUAGAUUCAUGUUUUGUAUUAGUUUAAGGUUUAGACUAAUUACAUGAAAAAGUUUGAUUUGAAUUAUCUUGUUCUUAUGAGUUGCUUAGAUUAAUAGAAAUGUUGAGUGAAAUAGUUGUUUUCAAUCCAUUUUAAUCUAAGAGUUGAGUAUAAAAUGUGUUUGUGUAACUUGUCCUCAAGUUACAUGAAGAGUCACAUUAAAGACUCAUAAAAUUCAUAAAAGUUGGCAAUGGUUACAAAAUGAAGAGUCUUGUGUCAUUGAAUAAUUUUUUUUGACUCCAUAACUUGUCCUCAAGUUAUGGAAGUUCAAGAGUCACUUCAUUAAAGAAAAAUAUGUAACCAUAAUUAAAUCCAUAAGUUAUAAAAUAAAGAAAAAGUUAGUUCUUUUAUUAGUUUAAAGUCUUCCAUAACUUGUCCUCAAGUUAUGGAACUUGAAGAGUUUUUGGAUUAAAACUACUUUAAACACAUAAGUUAUGGAAUUAAUUAGUUUUGAAUAGUUUCAAAACUUGCCCUCAAGUUUUGGAAUUUGAAAAGUUUUCAAGUAUGAAUACUUUAAUUCCAAGUUAGCCCUUAGAAUUUUAAAAGUUAAAAUUCAACCCUUAUACUUUAUAAUAUUAUAAGUUAAUAAUAUAUAUAUGUAUAAGAGUAAAGUCAGUCUUACCGCUAGUACGCCUCAUUCACGAAGCCGGUCUAUAAGGUGGGUAUAAGGUUGUUGCCUAUAAAAUGGCAACUUAAUGGGUGUCCACUCUCACCCACCGCUUGCUUGACUGGUGGAGGGUCGUUAGCCGAACGGGUUUGACAGGACUAGAAUUCUCCCUUCAUUAAAAGUAUUAAUGAUAAUACUAAGUAACUAAACUCUUAAUAAUACCCAAUCUUAGUUACUUAGGAAAAAUGUGAAUAAGGUGCUAAUCCAUGAAAUUACACUUUACACUUUGUCUAAGUCGUUAGUGGAGCGUGUGUGGUUAACCGGCACACUAACUUGGACUUAACAAGGUAGGUAAAGGGUGACUUAAUAUUUAUCAUAGUAUCGAUGGAGCGUGUGUGGUUAACCGGCACAUCGAUUGAGGGGUAAUUUAUUAAGGGUACCAAGUGAUUUGCAUGGUUACUUCACACCUUGUUUUGUGAUCCUCGGCAUCCCAGUCACAAAACCUGAAGGGCACACUCGAGAUUGAAACAUGCCUUUGAAAAGUUCAAUGAAUCUCAAAGAUCUAGGAGUUUCAAAACCAAUUAAAACCUAAUAAUACAUUUCGUUUAUCUUGGUGGAAAUUGGUGAAUCGUCAUUCACCUACCUUCAAAUAUUUUAUAGCUUGGAUUACGGCAUACCUCUUCUAAGUUAUAAAAUAGUUUGUUGGGUCCUAGCCUUAAUAUUUCAUAUUGGGUGUCAUAUUAAGGACUUUAAAUCAACUAUCUUGAAUAUCUCCCAAAAGAUGUCUGGUUUAGACACCUAUGAUCUUCCCAAAUCUCUUGAAACAAGGUUUCCUAAUGAAGAUGAUGUCCCAUGGAUAUCAUACUUCUUCACCUCUUCAAAUUAUUCUCCCUAACCCACAAGUUCUUGAAAAGUUUAAGGUCACUCAGGCCCUAUUAGCAAGGCAAGGUCUAGGUGUGGUCACAUCUUGGAGAUGUAGUCACAUAUUGACAAGCCGGGAGAGUUGGGUGUCAAAGUCUUGAGAAAGUUGGUGGUUCAACCACUUUCUAAGUCACAUAGUGAGUUCCUUUGGGACACCUAUGAAACAGACUAUGACAAGACCCUUAAUGAUCUUAUCUAUUUGCUAAGAUCAACUUCCUAAAACUUUAUGGACAUUGACAAUGAUGACAUUGGAUAUCCAGUAAAGCAUUCUCUUCCCAAUGGAAAGGGAUCGGCCAUAGUCAACUCGGUUGACCAAAUGGUAAAGAGAAAAGCUAAGUCUGUGAUAGUCCCGUGUACCAUUAUCAAAGGGUCCAUAUGUUUAUAUUGCCAAAGGAAGGGGCAUUGGUUGCGAAGCUGCCAAAUUUACCUAAGGAUGUUAAAGUCAAUAAGUUUGACUCUACUUCAGGUAAAGUCCACUAUCUAACUCUGUUAAGUUUCUAUUCUGAGAUUCCUGAUACAUGAUGUGACUGGGUCACAUGGUGAUGUUUUAAGAAUCAAAGAAAAGUGAAGAAACUUAAAGAAAGAAUAUGCUGAAUCUGAUGGCAUAGAUGGAUUUCUAUCGCAUAGUUUGAAGAUCGGAUUCUUGAGCUACUUCUUAGGAGUUAUGAGAUAUUGCUUAGGAAAAGAUAACAACAAGUUUUCAAAUGGAUUGUAAGGAUAAGUUGUUUCGCAUAGUUUUAAAAUAAAAGAAAAUUUUUGUUUUUAUUUAUUUUAAAAUAUCCUUACAAUGACAUUUGAGGAAAAAAAAUUGUUGCUUAUAUUCCAUUAAUAGCAAGAGUGGAAAUAUGAAAUUGAUUCUUUCAUUUGUGGUAAUGUCUAGAUUUACCAAAUAAGGAAAGAUUCUCAUCACCCAAGUUUCAAUUGGACCGGAACUUGGAAUCAUGCAAGUUGUAUAGCAUGAUGAAUGAGAACUUUCAAGUUUUGAAAAAUUAAGACUAAUUACUCGUUCAUAUGGAUGUGUGAGUCAAGUAAAGGACUAAGGGAUCAAGUACACAUUCUUUUGCACUGGUCAAGUCCACCACAAAAGAUUAAUAAGACUACUUGUCAUAGUUUACAAAAGCUUAGUAAACAUGAUUAUACUUACAAGCAUAAGUGUAACUAUGAGACAUUGGAAAAAGGUUACAAUGUAUGACAGAGCGAAUAAGAAGAAUAAUAUUAGGCAGAAGGAUAAAAGUUUCUCAAAUCUGAAAAGAUGGGAGAGUACUUUAGUAUUAGUUUUGUGAUCAUCUUAAUGAUUAAGAAACCAUAGCACAAUUAGUUCUCUAAGGAAAUCUUAGUGCAUUCUUAUGACUAAGAAGAGGGAUCUUGAAUUGUUGAAAUGGUUAAAUCAAGAAGAUGAGUCAUACUUCGUUCCAAUACAAGUCUUAGAGUCAUACUCCAAGAUUGUAACUUGAGUGACAUGUCUUAAAGAAGGUUUAAAACACUUGUCAAAUGUAAGAGUAAAAGUUUUUUACUCUUGUACAUUUGAAAUUGGUAAGUUGUGAUGUUUUGGAUAAAACAAAGACCAACUUAGGCCAAUUUUGUGAAGUGUUUGUCUUGAUUAGAAUCUGCACUAUCUCUUGGAUGUUUGACAAGGGAGUCUUAUAUGUCAAGAGGACAGUGGGAGUCUUAAAGGUCUUGAAAGUCUCAAGAACUAAUCAAGAAUAAAACCUGAAGUUCUUCACUAGCACACGACUUGAGGUUUAUAACCUAUCGUGUUGACAUAUUUUGUGCCCAUUCUAGUUAAAGUUGGCUUUGCAUAUGAGUUCUUAGAGUUCUCAAUUAGUUACACAACAACUUGGAAGCAAUGGAAGGCCCUUGAGCUGCCAGGUGGCAAGAAAUUAAGAUUGAGUUCAAUCCAUAUGAGUGUGGAUUUGUCAUUAUCCUUGUCUUGUGUCUAUGGUUUUGACAAUUCACAUGGAUAAGAACACAUACACCAUUAAAUCUAAGUGUCAUAAGGUUUCUCUCCGAUUCAUGAAAAUGAUGGUGAGGAAACACUUUCACUAAGUAGAUUUUAGCUAGAUAGCAAUUGUGAUAUUUGCAUUCUCAAAGUCGUUAGUGGAGCGUGUGUGGUUUACCGGCACACUAACCUGGACUUGUGAGAAGUGGCAAAAAGGUCUAACCAUUAUGAUUACGGCAUCCCUCUUCAUAAUUGUUUAGACACACAAGUGUGCUAUCUAAGGGAAGGUGUAUGAUUUUGAUAAAGUUUUAUCAAAACAAUCUAGUAUCAGAAAUCUGAACUUUGGUAAGAAAGUCAGCUGAUUUCUGAGUACAUGUCAAAGCUAGUGGGAGCAUAAGUGUUAU